rnacentral:lncRNA from 1 species
CUGGUGCUAUAGGUACAGAAUCUGGAAUCUCUCUGUCGGUCGUCUGCCGCAGUAACAGAUCCUCUAACCUCUUCAUCCUGUCCUCCUGCCGACGCGCAGCGUCCAUCUGCUGUCGUGCUGCCGCGGCCUGCUGAGUAACCAACUCUGUCAACGUCGCAAGCUGAUCCUGCAACUCAUGGAGCUCACUGGACCCCGAAGUGACGGAAGUCUCAACUUCUUCCGCAGCGGCUGCCUCAGCCGCCCCGGCGGUUCCAGAACGAGUCGUAGGCAUCUUCGACUGCAAUACAAAAACAAACAUAGGUCAAUAAACCCUAUACUACUAAACCCUCAUUGAGGAUAUAAACCAGCUAAUUAAGCGAAAGCAAUGAGAUGUAACGCAUACUAACUUCCGAUGUCACGUUGUCGGCCGCCAACGUGACCCUCUGCAAAGUUAGUAAUUGCACAUCCCGAUCAAACUCCUACUAUUCGGAGUUUAUAAGUACCCAAUCACAGUACUUUCGCUAACAACAACCUCGACUAGACAUCGUCUCUCACGAGCCUAUUCUUAUAGUCCAACCAGCCUAAGGUUUGCUAGGUCUACUAAGACUCAACCCUAGUCUCUGAUACCACUAUAAUCUGUCACGCCCGAAUACCAGCGGAAGCAUAUCCGGCACGUGCACAGACCCGCCAUACACCUGCAGUAUAUAAGGCGUCUACAAGAAGCAAAUCGAUAGGAAGUAAAACAAAGAAAGUCCUAUCCUGAUAUCAGAGCAAAGUACAAGUCAAAAUACUAUCAGCAAAAGGGCAAAGAGUGUACAAUCCAAAACUCAACCAAAAGAUGAAAGUAUCACAACUAUAAAGUCUGAUCCAUACAGUAGAUAUACAGUACUGGGUAUACAAAAAGAAGGUACAAGGGUAGUCUCUCUAUACAUAAGGACAUCACCCUCGGCCGUAGCCCGAGUAACAAGGUGAUCGACUAGCACGCUCCUAGUAGUCCCUAGCUAGGCGCGACUCCCUUGCCACGAUCCCUAGCCUCUCCUGUAACAGGCUCUGUAAAAACAACCACCAAAAGGGCGUGAGAACUAUUAACAAUAGUUCCCAGUGGGUAAGCCGCCAGCCUCGGCGAAUUACACCACUAGGCUCAUGAUGUACUAAAUGGAAAUAAAAGCAGUAAUUUGCAUGAUAUAUUUUCAAUGCUAACAAUUAAUGAACAUGUAAGCAACAUGUAAUCAUAAUCUCAACAGUAAUGAAUCAACUGAAUGGUAGAAGCAUGGCAACUACUAUAAGCACAAACAUAAGCAUAAAUGUGUAAGUACUACUGUACACUGUAACUAGUAAGCAUUCAUUACUGUCCUUUGUCAUUUAGUACUUUCACAUCAAUAGAGUUUUACUUUCAUUCACAGGGAUCUACUCAAGGUAGUCCAGCUUGCGCCGCGCCUAAUGGCCCCGUGGUAGUAUACACUCCCCACGGCAAUCCACUUCGGCACCCAAUCCCGCACGGGCGAGCAACUGUCGCGUAGGCCAACUCCGGAGUGCCGGCUUGUAGGGAGCUACCCUCACAAGCGUGUGCGAAUGAGCACAAUGGCAAGCAAGCAAGGUCCACAGUCCAACAUGUCUCAAUUAUUACAAUUUCAUUUGCAAUGUUCUCGGUCUCGAUCCUCGAUCGGAAUUUCAAUAUAACAAAUAUGAACAAUAACUAGAAUCCACUAGUUUAGUAAGCAUGUAAGAGUAAUGCUAAUUUACAGGCAUUAGAAUCUUUUCACUAUCAUGGCACUACCAACAUAGUCCCAAAGCAUGUCACGGUUCUCUACUUUAGAGUCAAUGUCAUUGUUUUCUACUUUACAAAAACAUAAUUAUCAUGUCCAUUGGUUACUCAACUGAACUAAAGAUAAACAUAAACAUAAGCAUAAAUACUGUUAUGCAUAAAUUCUCUCUACUUCAUAGAGAUUCUAGUCAAUGUUAUGGCAAAGAAGUUCCAAAGAACCAUAUAGUGACAAUAUCGCACAACUAUGUCAAUUCGAUACAUAUAGAACAUAGGGGAGCUUCACUUGCUCUGGUUAGGUCAAACCCACCUCGUACUAGGUUCCAAAUAAGUUUGCAAGGGUCCCAAAAUCAGCCCCACGAGGUCCCACUGCUGCUGAAAAUAAGGUAUCAAAACCGUGUCAAAAAGACGACUGAAAUGUCCGAUUCGGCCUAAUUUACACUUAGUGCAAAGUAACCCCUUGAAUCCCUAUUCUGGGCUAGAGUAAUACCUCAAGUUAAGCUUCCAAAAGGUCCUCCAAGGCCAGUCGAAGACGGUCCAAGGGUCAAAUACCCUCUCGCUGCGAACAAUACCGAAACGGCAUCAAUAUAGUCGAUUAUAAGCUAUAAUAAUCGACUUCUCGCAAGAUUUAAUUCCUAGCUAAACUUCCUGCUUACCCGAAGUUAGAACACCUUCUAAACUCGGUCCCAAGGUCACUAAUUCCGUUUAAUAAGGUUCAAAAACCUGCUGCGAAGAGAACAAUUUCCAAAUUGUAUCAAUUCGGUCGCAUAACCCGUAUAUAGUCCGAAAUAGCUUCAUAAAUGGCUAAUUAUUCCAAUUAAGCUUCCAAGUAACUUAUUCCAGAUCUAAGAGGGUUAAUUCUCAGCUAAAUAUCUCAUAUAUACAUGCUGAAAUCUCAGGUUAAAGCAGCGGGAAGCUAAAACCUGAAAACAAUACUCAAAUCGACGUUAAUAAUGGAAAAGUUGAGCCGAUUACCUCGUCAAGCCUCCAACCAGUAGCUCACUGGUCCAGAGCUGCGAAAAGACUUCCAAAAUACUCCCUCACACGCCCACGUAGGCCCUGCGACACUUGCGAACAGCGAGGAACCAACGUCGCGACGAAAACGAACGAAAUCGUCGAAUUCGUUGUAGAGAGAGAAAAACCCUAGAGAGAGAGAGAGAGGAAGGUGGUAGAGGCUUUCUCUGAGCUCCAGCAACCCUUACUGAGCUCCCAGAGUCGUGCUGGGGUCAAAUAGGUGAGAGCAACAUGUGAAAUUACCAAAAUACCCAAGCUGCUACGUUUCUGCAUUGUGUACCGGUACAAGCUAAUGGCUGUACCGGUACAGCAAGCAGAAAAAGCUGAUUUUCGCCGGUUCAAUGCACUUUCUUGUUUCCAACAUUCCGAUCACUCUCAAACUUGUCCAAAAACUUGUCUAAGUCCUUUAGAACAUGUAGGAUAGUUCCACAUUGCAUUCCUUACUCUCGAACUCCGCAAAUUGCUGACGUUCAGUAUACUAUAAUACAGUAAGUUCAGGAACCGCUUCGACGACGCACUUUCUUGCAUCCAAAAGUUUAAUAGCUCUCAAAAUUGGCCCAAAACCACCUUUACAACAAUUAGAACUUGUGGGCACAUGCCACUUCUCAACCCCACUUUCCAACUUCACCAAUUGUAAAGUUCAAGGUAUUACAUCAUCUUUCCCAUCGUUAUAGUCGUCAUCGACGCCGACACAUUGUCGCCUUCGCCACCUUCUAUACUACUACUAAUUUCUAUACUAUUUCAGUUUUCUUAGAUGUUGUACGAAUGGUUGUCCAAAUCAAUUACUCUUUAUUUGUAUGUUGUUAAUCGUUCUAAACGUAAAGGUAAAGUGUUUCGCUUUUUAUCAUUUCAAUGAAAAAAAUUAUUAAUAACUAAUUAUUUGGAUGGAUUAAAGUAUGAAUCGAAUUAGAUUGAUCAUUUAGAACAAGAUAGUGUUAACAUACAUUGGCAUGAAAAAAUUAUUAAUAACUAAUUAUUUCGAUGGAUUGAAGUAUAAAUCGAAUUAGAUUGAUCCUCUAGGACAAGAUAGUGUUAGCAUACAUUGGCAUGUAGAGAGACGCUAUUGCAAACAAUUCAGUUGUUGUAUUAAAACAGUGCACGUUAAUAUCGAUAAUUAGGAUAAAUGUACUUUUUAAUAUUUUAUUUUUUCUAUAUUAUUUUAAAUUUAUUUAUCAGGAUCAAUUUAUUUAGCAAAGUUUUGCGAGUAAAAUUGUGCUUAAUCUAUCUAUUCCAAAAACUCAAGAAAUAAAAUUAAGCUAAAAAUUUUUAUUUACUUAUAUGAAUUCUUAUUAAAUUUAUAUUUUUUAUUAAUUUUAUCUAUUCUGAUGAUUUACUAAUAUUUACUUAUUAUUUUUCUUACUUUCAUACUUUCAGUGCAAUUUGUACGGAAGGGAGACUUGAUGGUGACAUUUUCAGUUAGUUUAGUGACGAAUUUUGUGUUUUUUUUUCAAUGAUACCAUGAUAAAUUUUGUGUUCUUUCUUUGAUGAUAUUGUAAUUCUAUUUCUUAUUUCUGGUAUUUUAUUUUGGUAAUGAUUAAAUAUUAUAUAUCGAAUCUAUAAUAUUUAUUUAUAAAAAUUUUAUUUUUUAGUAUUUGUGCGACGUGCAUUGCACGUGCACUUAACUAGUUUAAUAUAUAAAUAUUAGUAUGUAUAUUUGAACAUAAUUGCCGCUAAAGGUGUAAUAAAAUAAUAGUAAUAGCGGCCGUUUGAUAAUCACCGCUAAAUAAUUGCCACAAAAAGUCCUUUUUGGUAUAGUGGAUCUUGGUGAAGGAUGUAUUUAGAGUCCGACUAGUAAUUCUGCCUGUGACGCAGCCCAAAGAAUUCCAUAUAGUUUGUCGGUUGAAUCCAUACAUGUGAUCAAGAAAAAAGGAAGAAAAAAAAAUAGAAAAAAUAGUUUCAGUUUGUUACAUUCUUUUAGUGCUAGUUCAGACUUCAGAGUGAAAAGAGUGAGAGAGAGUGUAUGGUAAGCAGAAUUAGCAAGAGACACUGGUGACUGGGCAGAAUUAACAGUGAUUUAAAGGCCCUUAAAUGUUAGGUUUGGACCUAGGUGAAACAGAAGACAGAUGUGGUUUAUACCUGAUCUUAAGAGGCAGUGGUGGCAGUGGUUUGACGGGAAAAGAAACUGUGUCCUGCUUUUUCUUCUUCUUCUCCAGUGCUUUGGUUUUGAAGAUGGGGGAGAUAGGAAAUAACAUCGGGGGCUCGGAGGAGGGCGGGGUAUUACCGCCGCCGCCGUCGUCGCCGCCGCCGCCAUCGCCAUCGUCGCCUCGGCCCCCUCCGCCCCCAUCGUCGCCUCUGCCCCCUCCGCCUACUCCGCCUCCUCUGCCGCCGCCUUCUUUGCCAUCGCCCCCGCCCCCCCCGCCGCGCUGCCAUACGAAUUGGUCGGCGAGGAAAGAGAGGGGUAUAGAAGGACGGCGGAAGAAACAAUCGACCCAGGUUAACCCCAACUGAAAUAGUUAGAAAUCGAUAGUUAGAAAUCGUCAGAAACUAAAUUAAGUAAUAAAAAUAAAAUUAACAAUCACUAACUAAUCAGUACUCCAGAGAGUGGUAGUGGUAGAGCAGUGGAAUACGCACUGAUCUUCUCACUGUUCAACACAGAAAAUUAAUAGAAAUAUAGAUAAAAUUUUGUAUAAUUUACCUUUAAUUAACAACAAGAUAUCUUAUAUCUUACCAGAUCUUUUUUGUUACCAGUUUGAAAUAUAUUGUUACCACCAUCCUAUGAUUUUAAACGGGAAAGGUAUCGUAAGAAAUUGAAUCAAAAAGGAAUAAAUUGGAUUACGAAGUAAAAACGAUCGUUCCAACUCACCACAGGGGGUUGAGAGGGCCGGUCCUCACGAGUUGAUCGGACGGGGACAUGGCCUCUUCCUUGAGGACGAUCUCUCCGAUGAUCCUCGAAGAGAUCUCUCCUACGAUUGGCCUCUUCCUCACGAUCUCUGAUUUUGAAAUUUGAAAAUGGAGGAACUCGCGGGAUCGGAGUGGGCGAGCCAUUUAUUUAUAGUGGUGGUGGUCGGUGUGCGAGAGGAAAUUCACGAAAAAUCGCGGCUCACGGUCCACGCGGUCCACGAGGUCAUCCUCACCUCGUUGACCACAUGAGAGAGUCCACGGGUUCCAUUUAUUUAUAUAAACUUUGAAUUUGAAUCCUGAAGACGUACAGCUGGCCCCUCCACAUUCACCACAAUUUGCGGCACGUCUAGUUGGAGUUGUUCAUAAACCUCAUUCAGUAGUCUGAUGUAAGAAACGUUAAUAGUCGCCAUAUCUCCAAUUGCAAAAAAGAAAAAAAAAAAAGAAAAAAGGGGAAGGGAAGAAAAUAUUUUUUUUUGGCAAAGUUUGUAGAGGGAUUAGAGUAAAUUAAGCUAGAAUGGAAAAAUAAAAAGUGAGAACACGAACAACAAGUUAAAAAUAUAAUGCAACAAAUUUAGUCUUAUGUAUUGAAUGUACAGACACCAGAGGGGGAAAGAAAGGUAUGGAGUUAGAAAGAAUAAAUGAAUUUGAAAAGAAGAUCCAAAGUUUGCAUGCACAUGCACCCACCAUAUAUAACACGCACACGUAGAUUUAAACAUAAGUAAAGCAUGUAAAAUAGAGAGGAUCAGACACACAAUAUACAUAGAUCCAAACGUAAGUAAAGCAUUUAAAAAUAGAGAGGCUCAGACACACCACGAUUAAGAAGUAUUCCUACUAUCAUUUUUUUGUUCUUGCCGCAGGGAAUCAAAAGAGAAGGGUUCGAAUAAAAAAGAAACAAACAUUAGUAAGCCGCAGUGAAACAGAAGAGAUGUACAUAAGAGGCUCAAAUACAGUGCAAGUAAGUACCAUUGGUACUCUCCCUUUUCUUUUCUGGCAUCAGCUGAGCAUAAGAGGUUUGCCACAGGGAACAGAAGAAAUGGAUUCCGAGUAGAAAAAAAAAAAACCAAAUAUAAGCAAAGUAAGCAGAAAAUGUUAUGUACAAAACAUAAAAAAAAAGGCAAACAGUAAAUAAAAUAGCGAGGCUCAGAUACACUGCAAGUAAGUACCAAUUACUGCUUUCUUUCUUUUUUAUUGUCAUUAGCUGUACAUAAGAGGGGGCCGUGAACUACAGCUAAAAAGACAGUGAAUAUAGAAAUUGGACUGUAGAUGGUUGCCUCUGGGAAGGCCAUCCAAAUCUGAAAGAUGUCCAAUUUAAUCCACUGAAAAAGGAGGAUCAGUGAUACAAAGAAGCAGGCAAGUAAAGAGAGAAAAGAAAAAGAAAGAAAAAAUUUGUUUCUCUGUUAAUUGCCUAAAAAAAUAUGAUGGCAAAGUUGGCAACAAAUCGAAAUCAUUAUGAGGAAAAAAGUUUGCAAAUAAGAAAACUGGGAAAAUUUUGGACCGAAAGCUAAAAUUGUAAACAGCAAAGAAAAUCGAGGUUUGAAAGGAGAAAGAACCUGCCUAAGAAGUAGUGGAGAAGGAAGCCUAAAAAAAACAUAGGUCAUCAAAAAAAAGAUGUAAAUAAACAGCGUUAACUAAAAUAAGAAUACUUUAAAGAUUGUGAUUCAAAGAAAAAAAUCGAGAAGGAAAAAGUAAAGACGGGAGAAGUAUGCAAUUUGUUAAAGCAAUCAAAGUAAAGGAGUGACCAGCAAGAAUUGAGUUAUAAUAACAGUCCAAAGGGAUAGAAUAGUUGAUCACAAAUAGAAACCGUAAAUGUAAACAACCAAUUAAAGGCAGGGGGGAAGCAAGAAAAAGCGUACAAAAGUAAGAGAAAAAUGAAAAAAAUACAAAAACAGAGCCUUAAAUCCUAAAAAAACAGAUAUAGAAACAAAGCACAUAAGAUAGUUUGAACACACAGAAGCGUGGAAAAAAAAGCACAUGUAAACUACAAAUUAAAGUCCGAGAUAAAAAACAGACAAAAUUUAAGGGUAAGAAUUGAGUUAUAAUGAAGGACGCUUCAUAUUUAGUGUAGGGCGUGUACACGCCCUACUUAAUUUGACAGCACAACAAAGUCAGGUAGUAAGAGGAGGUAAGCUAUCUUCACAUAUCGGCAGCAAGUAAAUAAGUAAAUGGCUUAGGCAGUAUAAAAACCGGGCCAAAGGAGGGGGGGGCGUACCUAGCACAGUACGCAGGUAAUAAUAGAGGUGGAUAUAUAUGUGCCUAAAAUUAUGAGAUCAGUUAGCAUUGUAGAUUUAGGUAGUAGAUGUGAAAAUAUCUGCUGCUACAAUUACAUUUCACCUUGUAAUGUAUUCACCUUACAACAACAGAGGUGGAGAAUAUAGGUGCCCAAAUCUUCGGGAUAUGUUAGUACUAUAUGUUCUGUUGCAAAUAUAUUCUACCUUAUAAUGCAGAAAAAGGACAGUUCAGAUCUUUCUACAGAAGAAUGCUAUUUAUAGACUGUAUCGGAUACAACAAGUACAGAGAAGAGGAGGAAAGGGGGAUAACGUAGGGAUAAUAUCACCAAAUCUUGGCAUAUCUUUCCCCAUUUACUUCCUUUUUUGGCCUUGGUUAAAAUUAGGGGCAAAAAAGACAUGCACAGGGGCCAAGUAGAUCUAGGUUUAGAAGCCACCACAGUGUUGGAUUUCAUCACAAACCGCACAUCAUAGGAUCAACCCCAUUAGCAGUAGAGAAUAGUAUAUCCAGAGAUUAGAAAGGUGAAGCAGAGAGAGGGCUCACCUAUAGGCUCAAUAGGUAUAGGGGUAGAGUCAUCAGCAGAAGAGAGCUCACCUGUAAGCUCCGAAGAAGAGAAAGGCGAAGCUGUAGGCUCAAUAGGUUUAGGGUAGAGCCAUCAGCAGAAGAGACCUCACCUGUAAGGCUCCUAGGUAUAGGCGUAGACCCCAUGAGAGUUGGUCCAACCCGAUGCUAGCUAAUCGGAGUAGAGAGAGAAAGUGAAUGAGAUGAGAGGUGAGAGGAGGGUAGGAGAGAGAAGCCCAGGCCGAGCCGCCAAGGAGAGAAGAGAGAGAAAUCGUGGGAGUGAGGAGAGGGGCGGGCGCGAAUGGUAGAGAGAGAGCGCGAGAGACAGGCAGCGAGAGAGAGAACGCAAGAGAUUGAGAGAGAGCGACGAGGACAGAGAGCGUCGGGUAAAGAAAGUGACGGGUAGAGAGAGAAAGAGAGCAAAGGGUAGAGAGAGAAAGGGAGAGAGAGGGGGGGAGAUAGAGAUGGGUUGAGGGAGAGAGAGUGGAGAGGGGGGUUUACAGCUUUUUUUUUUUUCUUUUUUUUUCUUCAGCCCACCUCUUGAAACUUUGUUUUUUUGUUCCCGAGCCCCACCUCUUUAAACGCGUGAUACGUGGAUUCGGCUUUCCUCCUCACACCACGUGGCUUUCUUAUACUGUCAAAUUAAAUAGUUUUAGAUUACUUUUACAUUAAUUAUUUUUAAUAUAAAAUUAAUUUUUAUUAUACCAUAUUUUUAGUAGUCCAACAAGAUUUUAAACCAAACAAAAAGAAUUUAUUUAAAAAAAAAACCAACCGAACCGACCAAAUUAUUGCGGUUCGGUUCGGUUCGGUUCGAUUCCGCGCUUCUAAUUCGGUUCGAUUCACACUUCUAAAUUGGUUCGGUUCGGUUGAGGUGAAAAAAAAGUAAAAAACAAACCGAACCGGUUGAUCCUCACCGUACUCCCAUUUCCAAUCGUCUCUCUUCUUCUUACCCUAAAAACUCCCCUUUCGUUCUCUCUCUCUCUCUCUCUCUUCCGAAGCUUACGAAGCGCCUCCCAUGGCGCCCAAGCCCAAGCCGACGCAAGCGAAACCCUCGCCUCCUCCCUCCGGCGGCGCCUCCUUCUCCGCCUCCGCCGUACCCCUCGAGGAUCUCUUCUCCGCGCUCCAUCGCCAUGCCCAGAGCUUGGAGUUCGACCAAGCCGCCAAAGUCGCCGACCAAGGUCAUCUCUCUCUCUCUCUCUCUCUCUCUCUCUCUCUCUCUCUCUCUGAUCCCUUUUUUGAGCCCUCUUACGUGGAUCUCUCAGUGCUGGCGAUUGCUCCGGGAGACGAGGACGCCGUGCGGUGCAAGGUGGUGGCGCUGAUCAAGUCCGACGCGAUCGACAAGGCUCUCGCCGCGAUCGCAGAUGCCGGGCGCCUCCCGAUCGAUCUCAGGUUCUAUAAGGUAAUGUUUCCCCUUAAUCGAUUGAUCCGUCGGAGAGAUCUAUUUGUAGCGCGUCGGAUAGAUCGAUGAAUCCAGUUUCGUGAAAGAAAGAAAGAAAGAAAUAAAGAAAGAAAGGAGAAUAAUCUGAUAAGCGAUCUGCAUUAAAAUUGAAAAAAAAGCAUUUUUGAGCCAUUUCUGAAGUGGAUUGAAGUAUUUAUCUGUGAGAACAUGUUGGAAAUCUUGGAUGUGUGGAGUUGUGAAUAAAUAAUUUGGUUACAGUUUGGUGGAGAUUUGCAUUAGGUUAUUUUGGUUGGGUUUCUGCAAAUUUCUUUUUGUGCUGUGGAAAGUUCCAGCCAGUAUGUCAUCUUUGAUGGGACCAAAAAAUUGGACAUUUAGACGUUGCACCAAUCAUCGAACUUCUUUGGUUCAUGUCAAUGUAAACACAAAUAUAUUACAUAAUUGAGUAGGCAAGUCGACAGUUCAUAAUUGAAUCCAUUAGAAGGGGCUUGUACUCGAGUUUCAUUGAUGCAAGUUUCCGUAGAUUUAUUCUCUAAGUGAUUUUAGCUAUUCUGCUUUGAGUGGUUUAGGUGGUUCCAAAUGUUUGGCUUGUAUGAUGUUUUACCAAGUUGCAGCUAGCUUAACCACAAACUUCAGCAUCCAUCAUUAUGAAAGUUCAUGACAAAAUAGUUGAAAUUCUGUUAACUAAGUUUGGACAAAGUUUUUAGGAAGACCAAUGACGAGUCAUCUAAGUUUCUCUAUGUAGACAAGAAAGUACAAAUAUCAUGAUUGUGAGCGUAUUUUUUGGAAUUUUAUGAAUAAGGUUGGUUUGAAAAUCAUCAAUGUCAUUACUGAGCACAAAGAUGGUAAGAGCUGGAUUUUUUUAGCAUCAAGAGCCAACAAAAUAAAUGAUGGCUGUUGUUGGAUGCACAAGUAAUGGAUUUCCUAUACUUGUGAUAUUUUACAUGUAGACCUUUUAUGUGAGAUUCUCUUAUCCUAUAUUAGAUCUGCAUAUGGGUGUGUAUAUUUCUUUUUACUACCAAUUGUGUUUACCAGCCUAUUAGCCAAGCCGUCUCUUACUUUCAUCCAAGGAUUAAAGUGCUCAUCGGCACGAGUCAUAUCCAUCGUGCCGUAUCAUGCUAGCAAGAUAUUGGCAUGAUACGGCUCCCGUGCCGAUGGCACAACUCAAAACCCUCUAUUCUUGAAAUUAGUAAGUAAUUUUCUCAAUAAAGUUCAAAAGAUUUUAUAACAAUACAUAAUAAAUAAUUGGCAUAUUUUGCUGCUAAAGAAAAUAAAUAUUUCAUGCCAUUACGUGUCGGCACACAUAUAACUUUUGUGACCGACACGCAUCGACACGGUCUGGCACACACCGAGCCGUACUGCGCCGGCAAGCUUCCGGCACGACCCCGUGCCACGGCACUUAAAUCCUCGCUUUCAUCUAUCAGUAUGAUAGUUUCAAAAUUCUAUCAUCUUCUAAUCUCUUCUUCCCUAUAUUCAGGCCUAUUGCUUGUAUAGGCAAAACAAAUUGCAAGAAGCACUGGAUUCUUUAGAUGGCCAAGAAAGGGACUCUGUGGUUCUUCAGUUGGAGUCUCAGAUUCUUUAUCGAUUGGGAAGAAUGGUUGCUUGCACGGAAAGUUAUGAGAAGCUUCAGAGAUUGAAGAUUGAUUCCGUAGAUUUAAAGACGAAUAUCAUUGCUGCAAUGAUUGCUGCUGGAAGGGCUUCUGAAGUCGAAAGAACCAUGGAUGCACUCAAAGUGAAAUCUUCUAGCAGCUUUGAGCUUGCAUACAACACUGCAUGUUCCUUGAUUGAAAAGAAAAAAUAUGCAGAAGCUGAACAACAAUUACUCUCUGCUCGAAGGUGAGAAUAAAUGAUAGUCCUUUUCAUUAAUUUGGUAGAACUUGGAAGUUUUUUUUUUUUUAAUAUAGUAGCUCCUUUGUUGUACUUUCAAGUUUGCUUGAUAAAUUUCAUUUAAUAAUUAUGCAUAUUUUAGUAGUAUGUGAAACUAUAUGGAGAAGUUUAAGUUGAACAUUUAAUGAAGAGAUAACUGUUUUAAAUAAGACUUACGUGGGUCAAUAUUUACAGGGAAGAUUAAUAUAUUGUCAGACAGAAAAUUAUAUUAUUAAUAAGUAAAAGCUCAUUCUCGUUUACCAUGUUGCGGCUAUAUUUCAGCAGAAAAUUUUGGUGAAACUAAACUCUAGUGCAAGUUUUUACAUGUAAUUGAUUUAUUAUUAAUAUAUUAUCCGAUCAUCAAUCAUGCCAAGUAAAAAAAGCUAGACUUCUGGAUGUUCUUCUAGUUCACUGUUAUAAAAUUACAAAAUUCUCCUGCCAGUUUUGGUAAUUAGUUAGUAAAAAAAAAAAUCAAUUAAGUACCAACUUAUUUUCUAAGUCUUCAGUCUAAAAUAGGAAUCUAUUAUGGCUAAUGGUCCAACCUAAUUGUGACGUUUUUCAGAAUUGGUCAGGAGAUGCUUAUGGAGGAGGAUUACGCUGAUGAAGAGAUAGAAACUGAACUAGCUCCGAUAAAUGUACAGCUAGCUUAUGUUCGACAGGUGAAUAGUUUAUUGUAUUCAAUCUUUUUGUACUAUAAUUAAUUAGUGCUUGGCCUUUAUUGUGAUUUUUCUUGUUUGUCUUUCUUUUUCAGUUACUAGGACACACCCAAGAAUCAGUUGAAGCUUAUGUUGGUAUUAUUAAUCGAAACAUAGCAGACGCUUCAUCACUAGCAGUGGCAACUAACAACCUUAUUGCACUAAAGAGUACAAAAGAUGUUUCAGAUAGUCUGCGGAAGCUUGAUCGGCUGAUAGAAAAAUCUGCUGGUUCGAAGCAAUUUCAGCUUGCUCAUGGCCUUGACUUUAAGUUAUCUUUGAGGCAAAAAGAAGCUUUAUAUUCUAAUCGUGUACUUCUGCUUCUUCAGGCAAAUAGGAUUGAUCAGGUGCACAAAAAUGCUUUCAUUUUUUUUUACUCUCAAUUCGUGAUGCUAUCACUUGCAUGUUCUUUCUUCUAGCAUGAACUUCAAGCACAAAUCAACGAUGAGAAAUGUCAAAUGCAUUGGUGGAUAUUUUACAAUCAGCUUCAACUUGCCACCCACAUUGUACAAAUUGGUGCAAUAACUUGACCAUAGCAAAAAUCAAGUGAGAGAUGGACAUGCCGUGCAUACUAUAAAGCUAGCUAGCAGUGUACACUAAGUAAUCUUGUUAAUUGUAGGUGAGGGCUUAUGCAACCCAUGGAUUUCUGAGAUAGCCCCGAAGCUAUCAGAAAAAUCUAUGGUAGGCAACAUUGAAUAUAGAAAUUAGAAACACUGUUAUCUGGUACGAGUAUAAAUAUUAAAAAUACUAUUCUUUGGUACGAAUAUAAAUAUUAAAAACACUGUUGUUCUCUGGUAGGUUAAGCUUUUGGAGAAAGAUAGUUAUUUCAUAUAAUUUAACAUGGUAUUUAAGCAGGUCUUGAGUUCGAGUUUUACUAGCUCUUAGUAUAAUUAAUUUUCUCCCAUUUAAUUUAUGUCCACGUCUUGGGUCUAUUGAAAUAUCUCAAGCCCAGACGUGGGGGGAAGUAUUGAAUAUAUAAAUUAGAAACACCGUUCUAGGACACCAAUAUAAAUAUUAAAAUCUCUAUUUUCUAAUAGCUUAAACUUUUAGAGAAGAACUAUUGUUUCAUAUAAUUUAAUAGGGAGAAAGAUCACAACUAUCAUUGAGAGCUUCUCUAUCUCUGAGGAAAACUUAGCUAUGGUGCAAGUCCACUCCCAUCUGAUGACUAAAAUGUGAACCAGUCAAAAUCGUGCAUAUCACAAGUUCUUUUGCAUACUUACUGCAUUUGUGCAUUCUCUUGGGAGUUUAGUAAAUCAUAAAGAUGCAACAAGUGUUGAAACAUCUAUUACAAACAUCUCCUCGAUAUAGGUUCUUCAUAGAUCGACUGGUUGGCUAAUUUCUUGAUCAAAUAAUAAUGUGUAAUUUCAACUCAAAAUUUGUUGCUAUUAGUCUGUAAUCACGGUCAGCCAAUCUAUGUGGAGACCGAGUUCCUAAAUUAACCUUUCUUUCUUUGCUGAUUCUUGUCUUUUGAAUGUUUUGAAAUGCAGUGUUUUGCUUUUCAAAGACUAAAUCUAUAUAGUGAUGCUCCACUUUUUAUCUUAAAAGGUUUACGUAGAUUGUAUGACUCUAAAGAGGACUAAAAUGCAUCUCUUCCCCUUGAGGGGGGUCAUCUGAUAGAGGUGACUCAAUCUUAAUAUGAAGAUAAUGAAGCUGACAAAUACAAAGCUUUCACUUACCAAUAAUGGUGAUGUAAUUUUUUAGUACAGAUAGAUGUAUCUAAUAACAAGAUUUCACUACGGCCUUUUAUGCGUGCUUACCUUCCAAAAAUUAGGAAAGCUAAGAGACUCAAAUUAUGCAUUUGCCUUGUCAAACAGUUUAUUUGAGUCUGGAUAAAACUUAUUUUCUACAUAGGUAAAUCUGCUGGCAUUCCUGUUUGUUUAGAUUCCUUUAUGUGACUUUUCCUUUUAAAAUAAUUCAGGCUAUGUAUGUCGAAUUUUGGAGAUAUCUUUUGAUUUGAUAAUGGUUUUCGAGGCACGGUGGACUAGGCUCAAGGGAAAGAUCGCCUUUUUUAGUAAGAACAUAGUCAUUGAGAAAGAGUGUGAGUUGCAACCAGGAUAAAUGAUUACUUCUACACAUAACCUUCUUCCUAUAUUUGUUUUUGGAUAUUCUAUUUUUUGUUCUUGUUUGCUUAUCAAAAGCAGCUUUUAUUUGGCACGUUCAUUCUCACAAAAUUUGUCCAGCAAGCAAACAAUACUUCUCCCAUUCAGGCCAGCAAGUUUUCAUUUCCCAUUUCAGAUGAGUGAAGUUUCUGAUUCUUGUAUUAUAUUCUUAUUACUUAUAUUACAUCACAACUCACAAGCAUAUUCCAUGCUAUCUGAUUUACAUGGACCAAAAUUUUGUUUUGCGUGGAACAAAGUAAAAGAGGGUAAAAGAAGUGAUAUCAUGGUAACACUCAAAAGUAGUUGCUAUUGUUGUUUGAGUAACAUUCAGCUGAGUCAUAACCUUUUCCUUUAUGAUGGAGCAAAUUGUCAUAUUUAAUUGCCAUAAAUUUGUUGCUAGUUAGUAGUCCUUUUCAUAAAUUUUCUGUAUGAAAAUUUUGCAGGCUGAGGAGCUGGUCUCAGCACUUCCAGAGAUGUUCCCAGAUAGUGUAGCCCCCGCUCUUCUUCAAGCCGCGGUCUUUGUAAGAGAAAAAAAGAUACCAAAAGCCGAAGAAAUCCUUACCCAGUUUGCGGAAAAACACCCCGAGAAGUCUAAGCCAGCCCUUCUUGCUCUAGCUCAAAUAGCUGCUGCCGCCAACCAUUUUCAAAUUUCUGCAGAUUCGUUGUCCAAGGUACCUGAUAUCCAACACACACCCGCUACCAUUGCUACCCUUGUAACCCUAAAAGAGCGGUCAGGUGACAUUGAUGGCGCCCUGGCCGUGCUUGACUCCGCAAUCCAAUGGUGGAAGAAUGCCAUGGCAGAAGAUAGCAAGCUUGAUCUCAUUAUGCAAGAAACUGCUUCUUUUAAGCUCAACCAUGGGCGUGAACAAGAAGCCGCUCAACUGUAUGAAGAACUUGUGAAAAACCACCAAAGUGUUGAGGCUUUGGUGGGGUUAAUAAGCACUGCAGCUCGAACCAAUAUUGAGAAAGCAGAGCACUACGAGAAGCAGCUACGGCCGUUGGCAGGUCUAAAAGGGAUAAAUGCAGAGAGCCUCGAGAAAACAGGGGGGGCGAAGUACACUGAAGGGGGGGCUGGACCCCAUUUGGCGAAGGCUGAAGUUACGGAGGAAGUGAAGAAGAUGAAGGCGAAGAAGAGGAAGCGGAAGCCAAAGUACCCGAAGGGCUUCGACCCUGCGAACCCAGGCCCGCCGCCGGAUCCCGAGAGGUGGCUACCCAAGAGAGAGAGGUCAAGCUACCGGCCAAAGAGGAAGGAUAAGAGAGCGCAGUUGAGGGGAUCUCAAGGAGCAGUGGCGGGUAAAAAGCAUGACAUAACUGCUGCAGCAAGCAGCGGUAGCUUCUCAGGAGGUGCUUCCGCUUCAAAACCGGCACAAGAUAGUGCCGGUUCUACGAAAGGCGCGUCGCAGAAUGUGGCUAGCUCUGAGCAGCCCAAGGCCUCCAGGAAGUCAAAGAAGAAAUCGCGAUCUUAAGGGUUGCAAUAAACAAGCUGCUUCUCAUAGAUUUCUUUUUUUUAAAAAAAAUUUAUUAAGACAUUUUGUAUUUGUGAGGGCUGAGGAUCAACUCUUUUUUGCUUUUGCAGAGCGGAACCAAGUUAUUUAUAGUCUUUUGAGGCAUAAUAUGGUGUACCAUGCGGUUAGCUUCGUUUUGCAUCUCGAUGUCUGUACAAUUGUUGAUUUGAAGCAUUGGAAAAAGAGGGGGGAUUUUGGAGACAUUUGAGAAAUUUUUGUUAUCAAUUUGCCGCUGAAUUUUCCAAAAUUCUUGCUUAUAAGUAUGCUUUCAGUGGAUUGCAUCUCUCCAUUUACUUUUGGGUGCAGUGACUUUGUGCGAUCUCCUUUCCUUUAGCUGCUUGAAAUGCCAGUUAAUGGUGAAAAGACGGAAUCAAAUUAUCAGAUUUUGGCUGUUUGUCCCAACGAAAGUCAUGGAACGGGUCUCAAAAACAGUUCAAAUUUGAGAAGUUUCAAAUAAACCCUUUAAUUCACUAUCUUAUCUUGUGGUUUUAUUUAUCGUGCUUAAAGAUGCCAGCACCCUCCGCCCUGGUUAUAAUCAACUCAAAAAUAUAUCUGUACGCAAAUCAAAGCCAAGACAACCUUCGUUUGUCAUUUAUAAUCUAUAGCUAAGCGAGCGAUGGAAGGGCGAUGGAAGGGCUUAACGAUAUAACAAGAUUGGAUCCGUGAGAUAGUUAAACGUAGCUAAUAAGACCAUGGAAUUCUACUAGACUAGAUCAGUAUUUGAAUUACAAUUACUCAGAUGAACGAUGAGUUCAAAUGGAAAAAAUAAUGAAAACUCAGCUGCACACUGGCAAAUGACACAAAGGGUCAACUAAACAGAUGAAAUUUGCUGCAUCCUAUUUUAACAAGAAAAAUACUUCCUAUACGCCCAAAAGUUAAGAGUCUAUCUUAAACCUCCCAUUCCAAGGGCCAAAUUUUUUACAGUAAUUACUCAAAAAUCUCAAAAAAAGAAAAGGCAGGAAUAUUCUUAACGGCUUUCCCCAGCAGAAAAAUGAGAGAGAGAGAGAGAGGUGCAAAAGUAGUCUCCAUGAAUCACAUUAUUCUCAAAAUAACAAAUAGCACAUAUUGACAUUAUAAAAGAGAAAGCAUUGCUGUACAUAAUAAUACACUGCAAACUGCAAUAUGCAGAACUUCUUUGUUAUCGAACAAUAAAACAAAAAAGACAGAAAAAAACAAAGUAGCUUACAGCACACACUUUUUUGGAAGCUCCUUCCAACAGAUUUGCAUAAUCCUCCUGCUUCGACAUCUUUGAUUCCCAUCUAUAAGUAGUAGGAGAGAGCACGAAUCUCUUUUUUCUUGAUUGACACCAACAACCAAUGCUAGGAAAAACAUUAUUUGUGUUAUCUUCCAAGCAUAUGUAAAAAUCAGGCUAUUGAGACAUAUACUGCAUGUCGCUUGUGGAGCUCUGACCUGGUAGGAGCCAAGCGAAGAAACCGACAUUCGUCUCGCGUCUCAACCUUUGUGUCGAGUACUCGACCAGCAUGCUCCACAGAUCACACACCGUCCACCCAUGGCCGGAUAUCCACUCAGUCACCUGCUCAAUAUUGGUCCAAUCAUAAACCAAAUUCUAGGGUUAAUAUUCUACAGAAGAUGAACUGUGGCAGUCAAACGCUCUCCUUUCUAAAACUCAUAAUAUAAUGUAUAUAAUCUUACAGUAAUAAGAUUCCCUCAAGUUUAAAUUUGUAGAUUUUAUUUCCUUUUUUGGUUUCAACAACUCAGAAGAAAUGAACAUGGAAAAGAAAUCACAAAAUUGCAGGAUUACCUGUUGUAGUCUCUCCAAUGAUGCUUCUCCAAAUGUGUAGUAAUGGAUAAAGGGCCUAAGUGCCUGCAUAGCGGAAUUAAUUAAAAAUUGAAGGAAAAAAUAUUUUAAAGAUCAGUUUUGUCUUUCGAGGAUGUCUAUAACAGAGCUAACACCACUAAGAUAAUAUGUAGUCUCCGAGAGCAGAAACAUGUAAAUGGUACCUGAGAUGCAGCGAGCCACUGAAUCAUGCUCUUCAUUUCAGGGUCUCCGCCAAAUGCCCCACAGCCCCAGUUACCGGUUGCAAUCCCAAUACUCUCCAAAUCGAUUUGUUGAGACCUUUCUUCAUUAUUCUCCGUCAAGUCUGAAUUACUUGAGCAUCUAUUUUCAGAAUUAUCUUGAUUCUCCAUUUCUUGAGAUGUUUUACAAACCUGCUUAAUGAGACUAUAAAUCAUUUGAAACAAGAAUUUUUUUACAGAAGGGAAAUUCUAAAAAUAUUACUCGAGAUUUUAGUAUACACACCCACCCCUUCAAGCACAAGUAUUUAUCUACAUGCUGCUAAAAAGUGUGUAUUAGCAUUGAUGCCCUCUAAAUAAUGUGUGUGUGUGUGCGCGCGUGUGUGUCCUUUCAUAAACAGAGCACAAACAAUCUUUUUGCUCAACUAGGGUACAACACCAGGUAACUUUGUACUCUUUUUAUUUGUUUACCUACUAUUGGUGCUAAGACAUUUCAUUUCAAAGGUAUAUAUGCCCAAAUAUGAAAAAGUUUAUGGGGUAUAAUGAUCAUUAUGUCAUAAGGAUUAAAGGCGCAUUAAGCAAUUGUUCUGCAUAAAUUAAAGAAAUAUGCAUGCAAUGUUGGCAAAAUUAUGGUUAAUCUCUUACAGAAAGAUCUCAGAAGGUUACCACAGAAGCAUCAGCAUUGCUCUCGUGAGCAUAUUCUCGACAUGAAUCCACCAUCUGAAAAUGCUUGAGGUAGCAGCGAUGUUUCGAUCUAUCAAAAAAUCCACAGAAAGCUUUGUUUGUCUCCCUGCUCAAAAAUCACAAGAAAAAUAAAAUUUCAACUGAACCAACAAAAAGUUUCAAUGCAUGAUAGAAAUGAAUCAUACAAUCUUCAAGAAGUUUAGCUCUCCAUUAAAAUAUAAACAUCAAAAAACACCUUAUUUAUGUCAGGAAACACUUGAUUUUCACAAUUAUACUAUCAAUCAAAUUAUAUCUUCACAAACAAAAUCAACUCAAAAGGAUAAUACUCGAAGGCGCUUGAACACAAUUUUUAAUAUCGAAUAAGCAGUAGGCACGAUCAAGUCCCACAUUUGUAAGAAGCAUGAUACAUAUUUAUCUGGCGGAACUGAAUAGUGGCUAAUGACCAUUCGAGUAAGAGUAGGUCCACUCUCGCAAGUAGCAACAAAACAACAUAGAAGAAGAUAAUACAGUGAUACACAGCCACAACCAUUUUCCCACUACAUUAUAAGUGUAAUAAAUGAUGGAUCUCCAGACUCUUGGAUCAACUGUAUGUCAUGCAAGUGAAGUGAGUAAUGAAGGCAUGAAAUAGAAAAGAAACUUGGAUGCCUUGAUUUAUUCUGUACUUCGCCGUCCUCUUUAUGCAGAGCACCACAAUCAUAUACAUCUUUCCUUCAAUUAAUUCCAUUAGUCAAUCUAUUGUUUGGCCGCCCCAACCUGAAGCAACCUCAUUGCCAUCCCCACAGCAAAAAGAUUAUAGUCGGUAAAAAAAAAAAAAAAAAAAAAGACAGUACAAUAAUUGACCUAUAAUUUUCUGUUAGAUUGUCCUUUUGUCUUAGUACCAUUUGGUUCGGGUAUAAGCAAGAACUAGCUAUUACAGGGAUAGGUACAAGUAUGAGGAUAAGAAAAAUAGCGUUUGGAUGAAAAUUGGGUUGUUCCCGGGGAUAAGAAAAAUAUUAGGUAGUUUUAUAUAGAAAAUGGAGGUGUUGGUGGGGAUAACUGAGAACUACUAUUCUCGGGUAAAAAAUUAGCUUUUGGGUAUAAAAGGGGGAAUAAGGGCCUAUCCCUAUCCCUAUCCCCUAACCAAACGCUCUAAAGUACUGCGAAGGUGAGCAUGAGAGAUUAUGGACGAUGACGUAUCUUUUCCCGUGAUUAUGCUACAAAUAAUGGAGUUGUUGUUUGGUAUUCUGCUACUUGGGGAUAAAAGAUCAAAUAAUCUUAUCAAUGCAAGAUGGUUAAACUAAUCAAAGCUUCUAGAAUGAGUUCGUUAUCUGUUAUGAACAACAGAAUUUGUUUCUUGUUAUCUUUUGGUUCUUUGAAAUAGGAAUCUACCGUUGAACCUUUAUCAUCAUCAAACAAGUCAAAGAGUCUUCAUCAAAAGGAAAAGCUAAGAAAGUUCAACCAAGAGGUACUGAUUUUUUUUUUUUUAAAAAAAAAAGAAUAUGAAAGAAUCUAAAAAGAGAUUAGAAAGAAGCGAAGCAACUUCGAUUGUGAAAAAAAAAAAGUCCAAAAUCCAAAAGCUUUUUCUUUUGAUCUUGACAAUACAAGAAAUAAAAAAUCAUACCUUAGAAGACAAUCAGUUUUAUACUGUGCCAGUCUUGGACUGUCCAAAGCAUCUAUAGCUAUAAUCCUUGUUUUCCGUCUACCCAGUAAAUCAAAUGGCUUCCUAUCUAUGUAGUCACCCACAAAACGAAAGGACGAACUGUACCUGUCGAAAAAGCAGUAUUGUUCAGCAGAUAUUUAGCAAGCUUGCUAUAGUAGCUGCAAUAAUUGAAUUGUAAUACAAAAUAAUGGAAAGAAGCAGAACGGUCAAUUACCAAAAUUGCUAAAAUUUUAAAGUAAAUUACCCAAUGUUCUAUCUCAACUUGAGAUUAAAUUACAUUGCAAUUCCUUAUUUAAGUCAGAAAUUUGAGGACAAAACCAACCACUCACUUUUUCCAAGUAUUUUGCUGUCAGUGUAAAAAGACGUACAAACAUCUCAAUUAAAUAGUACAAAAGAAAAUACUUCUAUCUACGAGCAUAUGCAUACUUUUCAGACUGUCUAAACUAUCAAAUCUAACUUCUUUUUUUCUUGUCAAUUUUGAGAAUGGUAAGUAGUCAGAGCAUGUAAACGUAAUAUCAGAAUCAAAUGCACGAGCGCAUAGUAUGUAACCCACAGCAAAAUUUCUGUUUAGUCAGGUAUAGGAGAAAUCUGUAAAUUAACUUCAAGGAUUGAAAAAUAAACAGAAGACUAACCCCAUAUACUGUGAAAACCUUUCAACACCAACAAUUUCUAUAGCUUCAUUAUCUCGCAUGGAAGCCAUAAAUAGCAUGCCUGCAAUCAGUUCUGGAUUGAUCAUGAAUCGGAUCUCUUCCUGUUCAGCAAAACAGGAAAUUAGAAAUGAAAAGAAGCAAGACAAAAUUAAAGCCGUCAUUCCUGGAGAAAAUGAGAUUAUAGAAAGAAGCUACUAGUUUAGUUGCUAACAAAAAGAAUUUAGAUAAUUACACAAAUUUAGAACAUUAUACAGUACAAUAUCAGGACAUCAUGGUCAUAGCAAUCAGAGUGACAAACUGUAGACCUGCAAUAAAUAAUAAAUUGCAACAUAUAGCUCCUAUGGCGAGCAUAUAGGCUAUUAAGCACUACGACUGUUUAUUUAUAUAUGUAAGUUCACCACUGUUUCCAUAGGGUGCAUUUCAUAGUAUGCCGACGCCACUUCCACCAUGGCAUAUACAGCAGGGUUCCAGAAGCGACAAUAACUAUACCUACUUUUUUAUAGAACAUAGGCAUCAGAAGGUAUUAGUUCAAGUAUAUAAUUUAAUUUGUAUUUUUCUUUCCAUGUUCGUUUGAUGUUGCUAAGGGGCUGUUUGGUUCUACGUAAAAAUGGGAAAAAAAAAAUUUCCUUGGAAAAAAGUUUUCCGUGGAAAAUUUGUUUUAUGAUUUUUAGUGUUUGGUUUGUAGGAAAAGAAAACUAGUUUUCAGUUACAGUUGUUUGGUUAAAUGGUUGAAAGGAAAAUAUAGUAUUAUAUGUAUUCUAUAUAUUAUUUAUUUAUAAUUUAUAAUAAUUAUUAGGCUAUAUUUAUUAUUAUAAUUUAUAUUUAUGAAUUAAAUAUAUCAAAAUUAUAUAAUAUGAUAAAUUGAUAAGUAUUUAAUAUAAUAUAUGUAAUAGUCUGCAUAUAAUACUAUAUAAAAGCAUAUAAUUUUUAUAAUUAAAAAUAUAAAAUUAGUUUUUCUUUAUGAUUGUUUGGUUGAAAGAAAAAAAAUUAUAAAUAAAAAAAUAUUAUUUAUAUUUUUUCUUAUUAUAUAUAUUAUUUAUAUAUAAUAAUUAUUGAUAUAUAAUAAUUAUCAUAUUACAUAUAUUAGUAUUAUAAUUUUUACUUAUAAACAAAAUAUAUUUAAAAUAUAUUAUACAUUAAUUAUGUAAUAUAAUAUAUAAUAGUAUAUAUUUAAUACUACAAAACAAAUUAUUAUGUAUUUAUAAAUAAUAUUUAUAUUAUAAAAUAUUACACAAUAAUAUAUUUUAAAAAUAAAAUUAUAUAUAUAUAUAUAUAUAUAUAUAUAUAUAUAUAUAGAGAGAGAGAGAGAGAGAGAGAGAGAGAGGUGCUUCUAUACUAUCAAUAGUAUAGAAGCUCCUAUACUAUAGUGUUUUAAACCGUUGGAUCCUCUUUUGAGAUCCGUGCACAGAUUUGGGGGAUUAAGUGGGAUGAAGUGGGAUGAAGCUAAUAACACGGUUAACAGAGAAAUAAAAGAGGAAAGAGAAUCCCACUUCAAACCUCUCUCUCUCUCUCUCUCUCUCUCCGUUAAUAAAGAAAUUAAAGAGGAGAGAGAAUCCCACUUCAAACCUUACUCUCUCUCUCUCUCUCCAUUAACAGAGAAAUUAAAGAGGAGAGAGAAUCUCACUUCAAACCUCUCUCUCUCUCUUUCUCCCCCACAUCUUUCUCUCUUUCUUUCCCAUUUCUCCCAGACGGCCUCAACUUCCACCAUCUCUGGCUCCCCUCCCUCACCCCGCUCCUUCCCCCCGCCCCCACCUGCCGGCCCCACAACCCUAGCCGCGCGAGACACUACCACCCGCCGGCGCCGCUCGUGGACACUCCAACCCUAGCCGCGCGACACUGCUCCGCGAAGCCCUCCAAACCCACUCGCGGACAUUGCCUGGACGCCGCUUCGACGUUGCUCCCCGACACCCUCCAAAUCCGAGGACACCUCAUGGACCACAACAACAACAAAAAUCAUGACCAGGUUAUUUUAAUCCCUAGUUAACUAAAAUAUUUUUUUCUUUAUAUUAAAUGGUUGAUAGGAAAUUAUUUAUUUCUUAAGUUAUAGAUUCAUAUUUGUUGAUAGGAAAUUAGUUACAAGUAUUUGUUUUUUCUCUUUAUGAUUUUUAUUGCAAGUAAUAAAUAGAAAAUAUGUUACAUUUUUUUUGGGGAUAAAAAUUUAUUACCUAUACAUUUUCUCUUUAUGGUACUUGUUUAAGACACUAAAUAAAUUUUUUUUAAGAAUCAUAUGAGAUGAUUAUAAUAAUUAAAUAUUAUAGACUUCUAGCUAACUAUUUAUACUUACUUUUAUAUUCCCUGUUUAUGAUUUUAAUGUUAUAGAUGGAUGAUGCUUUUCAAUCUGAAAAUAUUAGAAGAAACAGUGAGAAUAUGAAUUCAGAUGGUUUAUCUAUAUGUGGUCAAAGCAAUGCUCCAGAAAAUAUUAGUGAUGAUUUUGAUGCCGAUUUAGAUAACCAUGAUGAACCAAACAGUUUGAUGCACGAUAGGGAUGCAAUGAAAGUUGUAAGUGAUGACCCCUAUAUUGGUAAAGAGUUUAACAGUGCUGAGAAAGCACGGACUUUUUAUAACUCAUAUGCAUUUCGACUCGGAUUUAGCAUAAGAAAGGCUAGUAAAUAUAAGGCAAGGAAACAAGAUGGAAUGAUGAUAAGUAUGCUCUUGACUUGUUCAAAAGAGGGUCAAUCUAAAGUCCGAGACUAUGACAAGCGUAGUAGUACAACCAAGGUUUCAAAUCUCGUCCGUGCCCCUAAGAAAGGGGCACGGUACAGGGGGGGNNNNNNNNNNNNNNNNNNNNNNNNNNNNNNNNNNNNNNNNNNNNNNNNNNNNNNNNNNNNNNNNNNNNNNNNNNNNNNNNNNNNNNNNNNNNNNNNNNNNNNNNNNNNNNNNNNNNNNNNNNNNNNNNNNNNNNNNNNNNNNNNNNNNNNNNNNNNNNNNNNNNNNNNNNNNNNNNNNNNNNNNNNNNNNNNNNNNNNNNNNNNNNNNNNNNNNNNNNNNNNNNNNNNNNNNNNNNNNNNNNNNNNNNNNNNNNNNNNNNNNNNNNNNNNNNNNNNNNNNNNNNNNNNNNNNNNNNNNNNNNNNNNNNNNNNNNNNNNNNNNNNNNNNNNNNNNNNNNNNNNNNNNNNNNNNNNNNNNNNNNNNNNNNNNNNNNNNNNNNNNNNNNNNNNNNNNNNNNNNNNNNNNNNNNNNNNNNNNNNNNNNNNNNNNNNNNNNNNNNNNNNNNNNNNNNNNNNNNNNNNNNNNNNNNNNNNNNNNNNNNNNNNNNNNNNNNNNNNNNNNNNNNNNNNNNNNNNNNNNNNNNNNNNNNNNNNNNNNNNNNNNNNNNNNNNNNNNNNNNNNNNNNNNNNNNNNNNNNNNNNNNNNNNNNNNNNNUUGUCAAAAAUUGUCGCACCGCGAAGCUUUCGGUGAAUCAAGAUAACAAAAAUCGAUCUCCUAAACAAAUUUUGAUCAGAUAUUUUUAAAAAGAAUAACAAAAUAAAAAAAUAUGAAUGUAAUAUCGGGAAUAUAUAACUUUCUCACAAAUAUCAGCAAUACUUAUAUCAACAUUUUCAAAAUAAAUCUUGUAUCUGCCGAUGAUAAUAUGCCAUAUGAUCAAGAGCGACGAUCUAUGUCGAAUUAAACAGUCAUCUCUAUGUAAAGAUGUAAAUUUAAAUAAUUAUUAUACUUGUGGAUUUUAUUAUUGUAUUUUAAUUUCUAUUCUACAUCAAGUAUAGUCAUAUUUUACUUACAAAAAGCUUACAUGCAUAUUAAUUGAUGAGUAUAGUAAAGUAUACAUAAUAAAUAUUCAUAAUUAUUUAUUUAAAUCUUUCAAAAUAACAUUAUAAGAGUUUAUUGGAACUAAAAAAACUUAAAUAAGUCUGUACCAAAACGUGCCAGUAGGAGAUCAUGCGUAUCUAUCGGCACGCAAGCGUGCCUGUGCCGUACCGUGCCAGGGACAUAACGGCACGCCCCCGUGCUACGGCACUUUAAACCUUGAGUACAACUACACAAGGCCAAGUCACACCAACAAAAGAAUUUUCACACAAACGAUCAGGAUGUAAAGCCCUUAUGAGAGUAAAGAUGAUAAAAGAAGGUAAAUGGGUGGUAACAAGAUUUAUAGAAGAGCAUAAUCAUGACUUAAUUGCAAGCCCAACGAAAACACGUUUUUUGCGUUCUCAUCGCUCUAUCUCCAAUGAGCAAAAACAAGUAAUACAACUGUUAAGAGAUCAAAAUAUUUCAACAAGUCAAAUUAUGUCUUACAUAGCAGCAAGAGAUAGGGGAUCGCAAAAUAUCAAUUUUACUAUGAAAGAUUUAAGUAAUGAGAUUGUGUCAACAAAUAGGGGACUUGUUGGAGUUGAUGUUGCAAAUGCUCUCAAUUAUCUUCGCGCAACUCAUGUCUCCGAUCCUUCAUUUUUUUACUCAAUUGAGGUUGACGAUAAUCAUAUGACAAAAAAUAUCUUUUGGAUAGAUGGGAGAUCGAGAUUGGCAUACCAACUUUUUAAUGAUGUUGUGACAUUUGAUACAACUUAUAUGACAAACAAGUAUAUAAUGCCAUUUGCUCCAUUUGUUGGUGUUAAUUAUCAUAGACAAUCAAUCUUUCUUGGAUGUGCCCUCAAGGGAUGAAACUGCCGAUACUUUUUGUUGGUUGUUUCAUACAUGGUUACAGGCAAUGUCGGGAGUGCAUCCAAAAGCAAUUAUUACAGACCAAGAUCCGGCAAUGAGAAAAGCAAUUGGGCAAGUUUCUCCCAAUACUGUGCAUAGAUGUUGUCAAUGGCACAUAAUGAGAAAGGCAAGAGAACAUUUGGGAGUAUUAUAUAACAAAAAGGAAGGUUUCAAGAAUGAGCUAAAAUCAUGUAUUAAUUAUAGCUUGACAAUAGAAGAAUUUGAAAUUAGGUGGAAUGAGAUGCUCGAUAAAUAUGACUUGCAUAGUAACAACCACCUUCAAUUAUUAUGGAAUACUCGGCAUCAAUGGGCUCCUGUAUUUUUUAGGGACACUUUUUUCGCCGAUACAUACAAACAUUGAUAAAUUUUUCUUUAAAAAUUAGAAAAAAAAUAAAAAUUUUAGCACAAAUCUUGUAUUUUUUUACAUAAUUUUUAAUUUUUAUAAAAAUCAGUAAAAGAAUAUAAAAUUGUACCAAGAAUCGUGUAUUUAAAUAUUUUUUUGCAGAAAAAAUAAAAAUUUAUUUAGUACCAAUCUUGUAGAAUUUUUUUAAUAAAAAUAUAAAAAAAUACGUAGAAAAAAAGAAAAUACAAGUAUCUUGUAUUUUCUUAAAAGAUCCAUAGCUCAUGACGGCUUUUUUUAUAAAUUUUCAAAAAAUUACAUUAAAAUAUAAAAUUUUAAUUCAAUGAAAAAAAAAAUUAGAAAAAUAAAAUAAAAUAAUCAUUUUCUAUAAUAGUAAAAAAUUGCAUAUGCUCAUCAUUUUAUUUUUUAAAUAAUUUUAAAAAAUUUCAAAAAAUUCAGCUAAAAAUAGAAAUAAAUAUGUGGAAAAAAAUAUUUGACUAACUUUUGUCGAGGAGCUGUGUCGUUUGGAGGGCUUCGCGGAGCAAUGUCGUGCGGCUAGGGUUGUGGGGCCGGUAGGUGGGGACGGAGGGAAGGAGUAGGGUGAGGGAGGGAGAGCCAGAGAUGGUGGGAGUUGAGGCCCUCUGGGAGAAAUGGGAAAGAAAGAGAGAGAGAUCUGGGGGUGGGGGGGGGAGGGGGGAGAGAGAGAGAGGUUUGAAGUGAGAUUCUCUCUCCUCUUUAAUUUCUCUGUUAAUGGAGAGAGAGAGAGACAGAGAGGUUUGAAGUGAAAUUCUCUCUCCUCUUUUAUUUCUCUGUUAACGGUGUUACUAGCUGCAUCCUACUUCAUCCAACUUAAUCCCCCAAACCUGUGCACCGAUCUCAAAGAGAAUCCAACGGUUUAAAACACUAUAGUAUAGGAGCUUCUAUACUAUUGAUAGUAUAGAAGCACAACUCUCUCUCUCUCUCUCUCUUUCUCUCUCUCUCUCUCUCUCUCUCUAUAUAUAUAUAUGUAUAUAUAAUGGAAAAGGGUGAGAGAGUCCCGUGGACUCUCUCACGCGGUCCACGAGGUGAGGAUGACCUCGUGGACCGCGUGCUCAAAAAGCUCGUGAGCCGCAAUUUCUGUCCAUGGGUUUUCGUUUCCUGCAGACGGCAUGCGAAAAACGAAAACUCAAAUUUUUCCCCAAAAUCUGUAAAAUAACUUUUCCAAAAAAAAAUUUACGGACAACCAAACAUGGGAAAAAAAUUUUCUUCGGAGGUGGAAGCAAAUUUCAGUUGAAAGUUGAAACAUAACUUUUUUCUUUAUAGUUUAAGAUAUAUUUAUACAUGUGAUUUCUUUACUUUUUUGUGGUUAUUUUAUUUUUGUAUGGCUAUUUUGGAUUUUUUUAAUGUAAAAUAUCUAUUUAAACUAGGCUUGUUAAGAAUGUUUUAUUUUUGUUAGAUGUGUGCCUCACCUUCUUGAGGCACGAGGCGCACCACUGCGCCUCACUUUCUUGAGGUGCACGCCUCACGGUGCGCCUCGCGCCUAGCUCCAAAAGGCCUUUUGUGCCUUUUUGCACCUUGCGGCUUUUAAAGCACUGUGCAUGAUAGACUAAUAUAUGUGCUGACACAUAUUCCAAGAAGUGGGUCCCUUCUAAACAUAUUAUGAAAUAAUGAAACACCAUCAAGUAAUUAUUUGAUUGCACAUGGUAAUGAAUUUAUGCCAUACAAGAAUAAUUUCAUACCAAACACUGAUCAGGUGUGGAUGCACCUCAAUCGGUACAGGCCAAAUCUAGAAGUAUAAAGUAACUUUUGGCUAUGUAACCCUCUACCUAAUUACAAUAAAGUCAACUGAAUAAUCAUAUGCCUUAAAUGGUAUCGAAGAAUGAAAAUGUCUUACUUCUCCCCUUAAGAGUGAAUAUUGCACUAUGUUAUCAACUGAAAUACAAAUGUAGACCUCAUGUGUAGAGGAAUGUGUAUUUCAUACUCGAUUGCAUCUGUCACUGAAUGGUUCAAUAGCUUAAUAAAUUAUAUAAAAAAUGGGCAGCAUAUCCAAUCAUAAGGAACUUAAAACUGAGCAAAGUGGCAUCCACCUAUGAGAAGUUUAAGAAAGAAAACCUGCACACAGCCUCUAUGGAGUGCGCCUCCUCCCAAAUAUUCAUUUGCAAAGUCCACCUCAAGAGCUUCAUCUUGUUGAUCUUCUAUCAAGCCCGCAGACAGCACCUGCUGACAAAAAGAGAGUAGUAAUGUUUUCUUCCUAUUCUAAGAAAGUGCAUUUCUUCUUAAAGAAAGGUUGAAUACCCUUCAAAUGACAUUAUGCUUAGUGGUACGAACCUCUAAUUCUUCAGAAAGAUUAAAUUGCACGCUCAACAACAGAUAUAAGAGAAUAGCAGAAUAAGGGAGCACUAAAUUGUUUAAUUUUCUGUUUAAUGUAUAUGGACUGCGUAUUCUCCAGAUUUGAAAUACAUGAAAGCCCCAAUUGAUAAAGACCAGCACUAAGUGUGGAGAGAGAGAGAAAGAGUCUGUGUACUCUCCAGAUUUAAAAAACCACUGUUAUGAGAAAGUAAAUCAACAGGUACUGCUGACUAUUUGAGAUGUAGUUUCCAACCUUGAACUGGCAUAGCGAAGCUUUAGAUAUCCUCCAAUCAUCAGCCUCGGGAUAUGAAAUGCCAGAGGAACUGCGUUGAAGAGGAAUAACUUUCCUCUCAAAUGAAACAAAACCUGUAGGUGUGGACAAACUUAUCCUCUCAAAGUAGUGAAUUAGGCAUCUUACUUUCUGUUCUUGGCUCUGUCUUGCAUUGGGGUACAGGUUCCUGGAGAAGUGUAAUGGUACAAAUCAUUAGGCAGAAACACUAUAGAAAGAAAGAUAAAGAGUUUCCAAUGCACGAAAUUAUUACAACUAAAAACCAUUUUAUGGGAAGAAGAAUAAAUAUAGAUUUUCCAUAUAUACCCUUCCAAAUAUGAGAAACUAAGCAAAUACCACGCAAAGUUGGUAUUUGUAUGCAUAUUUGUAUUCAUCAGGGUAUAUCAGCAAAAACUGUUUUUUGCAUGGAUGCCCAAGCAAGAAACACAUGUAAUUUAGUAAGCUUUUCAACAAUAAAAAAUGCAAAUACCAAGUUUACAGGGAUACUUAUCCAAUUUAGCAUAUUUACAGGGGUAAAUAUAGAAAAAUCAAAAAAGUAAAAAAGCAAUUAUCUCACGUAUUCUGAAUCACAACAAGAACAGAAAAGAGAACCAAAGCUGUAAUUUAGAAUAUCAAUGACAAGACUAAGGUCACAUAAUUAACAGGACAGAACAAAGACAACAAGUUCAUUGACACAAAAAAGAAUAGAGGCCACAAGUUUUGUACAUAUGAAUCUCUGCAACAUGGCUUUUUUACAAGUUAAUAGACAAGCAGUUCAUUGCUUUCCUUACCAAAAUAAGAGUAGAUUAGAGAUCUUAGCUCAUAAGUUUCAACUUUCAAGUCUGACAAUUCUACGUAUGAGCAGAACAAACAAGCUGGGAAAAAUUAAACAAGCAGUGAGAAACAGCAUACGCAAACAAGUAGUCAAAAUUGAUGGCCGGAAGAAGUUUGGCAUCCCUAUUGCUGGUAGGAAACAGGCAAAACAGUGCACAAGCGAGAAGAGCGCCUAUCAAUUCCUGAAAUUUAAGAAGAUAGACAAAAUUACGAACAAUAAUCUACAGACCUGCAUGCAAGUAUGCCUAUGUACGUGCUGUCUAUUGUUUGUAUAUAAAAAAGCUUAUUUCAAUAAUAAAUUAAGCUCUACAAAUUAGAUAGGCUAUAUGACCAUAAAAGAAUCCAUCUACUAAAAAGUAAAUAUACUUGGCCAGAACUUGUAAAUGUUAUUUAGGGCUAAUAGAACAAGCGUAAGAAUUAAGGCCACCUGACUUAAAAAGACAAUGCCUGCUUCUUGCGAGCCCAAUACACGAAGCCCAGCUUUUUCUUUACCAAAUACUUCAUCAGAUUUCUGAUAAUGAGCCUCCAAAAGAGAAGGUAACUGCAGUAAUAAUCUCGCCAAAGUCGGAACAAUCUCUCCGAACCAAACCCUCGCAUCCAUUCUGGACAUCAGCUGCAGUAUUAGAAGAAACUCAAGUCACCAUCGAUUCUACUUUUGAUGAUAAAUAUCUAAUAUCCGUGUUAAACAUAUGAGUAUUCUGUAGUCCCAAAAUUUAUUGCCUUUUUUCUAACUCAAAAUUCCCUCUCGUACGUUAAAGGUUGUGCGCUGCACUUGAUUUUUAUUAGUUUCUAUUAUAUCUAGAAACUAAUAAAUGAUCAACAAAUUGUCAUUUUGAUUAAUGACAGCCACUGAUUUACUAUCAUCAUUAUGUCAUACUGGACAGCAUGUGGUGGCACAUACCAUAUCGUUGGUUAUUACCAUGGUACAGGGGUAUCUAAGCUAACCCCUGCGCCACUACGCGCGAGUUCAUUAUACUCUCGUUUUUAGUUUUCUUCUACUAGAUGAGCAAAAGAUGCUUCCCAACACUCAUUUUCCUAACUCUUCAUUAAAAGAGAAAGAAAGUGCUAUAAUGUUACGCGAUCAAAAGCUUAACAUCGCUUGUGAUGGCUACAUCCACAACAAAAAUCAUAAUAGAUGCAGAAAUUUCAUAUAGAGAUCAAGCACUUGUCUGGUUCAGUGAAUAAUCCAUGGAACAAAGCUUAAUCAGCCAAAAGUUCAAGAACUACCCUUCAUUCAGCCCCAUGAUAUGUUUGGGAAAAUGCAUAUAUAUCCCUGCAAAGUCACGAAAUUGAGGAUUCAUUCAUGCAAAGUUUCAAUUCUCAAAUAUAUCCCUCCAAAGUUCAAAGCUAUUCAUCCAAUUGACUAAUGUUAGUUGGCUGUUGACUUUUCAUCUCCAAGAUUGGUAUGCCCCCGAAAAAGAAAGAGCAAAUUUUAAGAUUUUGACAAGGGUUCAGUAUAAGAUUAUUGAUCCAUAUCAAAUGACACAAGAGAAUAGAAUGCUUGUUCAUAGGCAGAAUGGUCAUUUUGACAGAUAUAUUUGCAAAUUUCAAACAUUUAAAUUUUCGAGUGACCAAUCUGCAACUCCGUUCCAGCAAUUGUUCGCCCUACAAGCUACAAGCAGGGGUUCGAAGAAACCCUAAUAGCCACAAUGCGAAGCCAAAACAGAGAGUUGGGAAAGGGGUUUAAGGGACAAAUUUUCAAGGGAUAAACCCGCAAAUCCAUUCCCACAUAUUUUUUUUCGCCCAACAAGCUUACAAGUAGCAAUCUACAACUAGGGAUCCGAGAAACCCUAACAACCACAAUCCGGGGCCGAAGAAGAGAGGUGACGGGGGAAGAAAGACAGAGGGUUUUGACCUCGUCGAAGAAGAGGGCGAAUCCAUCGGCGGCGGCGUGAGCAAGAGGGUGUUGGGAGAGGCCGAUGGAGUCGCGGAGGUCGAGUAUGGCGUCGAAGAGGACCUCGCCAGAGGCGACGCGGCUCACGUCGGGGCCGAGGGCUAGGGCUUUGAGGGACUCGAGCGCCCUCGGUGGCCAAAAUAGGGCGAAGGAGGAGGAGGAGGACGAGGAGGAGGAGGAGGAGCGGAGAAUGAGGGGGAGGUAGGGGAGGAUCGACUCCACAUCCUCCCACUUCGCCAUUGCUGUUUCUUCUCGAGAAAGGAGGGAGAAGACGAGAAGAAAUUGUUGAAUAUAUAUCAAAAUGGUAAAUUGCACUGUUGGUCCUCAAACUAUGAGUCUGUUAUACUUUGAUCCUUAAAUUUGCUAAUCUUACAACUUGGUCCAUCUAAAUGCUAUAAUUAACACACUAGUCCUAUCAACUUCUUUCUUUUUUAAAAAAACUAAAAAUAAAAAAAAAAGAUUGCUUAAUCCUUUAAAUCGAUUGGAUUAAAGAUUGUAAAGAUUACACCUUGUUUGAAUUGUACACUUAGCAUUUCUUUUAAUUUCUUAUAAUUUCUGACUCAAAUUUUUAAAAUUAGAGUAAACAAGUCGCACAAUCUAAUUUAAUUAGCUAAAUAAUCUCAAAGCCUUGUAGUUUAACAGAACUUAAAUUUGAAUUUUAUAUUUGAAUCUAUGAACUAAAUAGAUAGGGUUUAGGUCGUGAUAAAAGGUCCUGGCAUUCGCAAUUUAUAUCUUCUCGGAAGGUCUAACAAAACUCAAAGAUUUAAUAAAUAAUAUAGAGUCCGGCUGGGAUACUAUCGAUAGCACCAAGCGUUUGGUGUUAUCAAGUUUUUCGCAGUUAGAUUUAAUUCUUUGACUAUUUUUAUCCGUUAGAUUAUGUUAUUAAACUAAUAACUCACUCAACCCAAGGGGGGCCCACAUCAUCUUAACUGUACAUUUUUUUAUCCAAUGGCUGAAAACCUAAUAGGACCAAUAGCUUCGUGUUAUUGAUAGUAUUACCAGCCUAGUUUAAUAAUAAUAUAUCUAUACAAACUAUAAAUUGACAGUUUUGUAUGGCAUACGUGUCAAAUUCUCCUCCUUCCUGAAAAUGUAAUUCUCCCAUCUCUUGGAAACGUACAUUCUCAAAUCUUCCCUCCUUGAGAAUAUGCCAAAUCUUCCCUCCUUGGGAAUCUACCAAUUUUUUUUUGAAAAUCUACCAAAUCCUCCCUUCUUGGGAAUCUACCAAAAUUUUUAAAAUCUUUCCCCUCUUGGAAAAGUACCAAAUUUUCCCCCUCCUCCUUGAGAAAGUAAUAUAAAAAUCUGCUUAGGGAUUUUGCAGGGGAGGAGGGAAAGAGGGGAGAGGCGGCUACGCUUUUCGGUGAGGACUGUAACUCCUCAUGGGGCGGUGAUGGAGGAGGAGGAAAAGAUAAAGAUGAUAGCCUCUGCGGUGCUGAAGAGAUGGGUCGUGUAGGGUCUCAGACAACCUAUGAUAUCUGCUUCUUCUCAUGCUUAGUCUUCUGCGUCUUUUUUUUUCCUGAUUAUCUUAUUAGAUUUGCUAAAAAAAGUGUUUAUAAUGUAUUUUUCGCUAAAAAAAUAUUUUUUAAGAGAAAAAGAAGUUAUUCUAUUUGUUGUGACUUAAUUUUGAGUAAAUCUCUAAUAUAUAAAUAAUUUUUUUAUUAUUUAUUAAUUAUUACUCUAUAUUUACUGUAGAUUUUUUUUUUUCGCAGCGAAGCGUGGGUCUUUAACUAGUAUAUAUAAUGGAAGAGAAACUAUGUAUAUAUAGAGGGAGUUUUCAUCUAAUACAAGAUAACAACAAAGUGCUAUAUUUUACCACAUAGCAUUUUGCACAAAAAAAACAAAAAAGCACAAUUUUUAAUAUUUUUUAGUAUAUUUAAUUUUAUUUUCUAAAAAACUGAAAAACAAGUCACUCACCAAAAACGUUGUUAUUUAAACUACAGAACAGCAAAGUGCAAAUUAGGGAUGUCAACAUGUAGGAUUCGGGACGGAUUUUCCAAACCCGACUCCAAACGCGAAUUCUGAACCCGACAGAUUUUAAAAAUCCAUAUCCAAACCUGAAUCCCACCAAAAAUCCGAACCCAAAAUCCGACCCGAAACAAUUAUUUUUCUGUUCAAUAUUUCAAAAUAUAUUAUAUUAAAUCUAAAUUUUUAAAAUAGAAAUUUAAAUAUAACAUCAAAUUUUUAUAUACAUAUUAUAUAUAAUGUAAAAUAAAUUCGGGUUCGGGUUGGGUAUAGUCAAAAUAUAUAUCCGUAUCCAUAUCCGUCAAGUUUUUAUUUUUGAUAUCCAUAUCCGAAAUCAUAUCCAUAUAGCAUCAGAUAAAUUGUUCCGUUCAGGUUCAGAUUCGGAUAAAAUUUCGGGUAUCCGUAUUCAUUGACAUCCCUAGUGCAAAUGCAGUAACGCGGUAAUAGAGUUUUUUUCUGCAAUUUUUCUAGAAUGCAUGACAAGUAGGUGAAUUAAUUGUGUGAAGUCGACUUAGGUAGAAGAUGGUGGGCUUGAAUUAUCGGACCAUCCUCGACAAUCUAAUGACAUAUAACCGAAACCUGCGACCCGACCAAGCCAAAUCGGGUCCGGUCAAAAAAGGCAGGUCCCUAUUUUUUUUCUUUUCUUUUCUUUUCUUGAGAGAUAGAUAGCACGCUUUCCAUUUCAUUUAUUUUAUUUAGAAAUAAACUUACUUGAAAAUAUGAAUCAACUAGAAUUCGAACUUAGUGUUAGUUUAUAAGCGUGUUUAUUUGUUUAAUUUUAUUUGUUUUGUUGAAAAGUUAUGUAUCUUAUGAAACGGUGUGUCCUUUUUGUAAGGUUGUGUCUUUUGGUUUAGGGUCAUGUCUUUUAGUGAAGGGUUGUUUUUUUUUGUGAAGAGUUGCGUCGUUUCAUACUCUAUAAAUAGAGAGCAUGUAAUUUGUUGUAUAGUGUUGUGAACAUAGUUAGUUAAUUCGGAUUCGGCAAAAAUUCGGUACGGGUAUAAUUCGGAUAAAAUUCUUCUUUUAAUUUUUAAAUUCGUUGAAAAAUACGGCUAAAAAACGGAUUCGGUAAUUAUUCGGAUACAUGAUUUAUACGGAUAUUAUACGUUCACCAAUUAAAAAUUCGGGAUAAAAAUUCGGCUAUAUAAUAAAUAUAUAAUAAUUAAUAUACAAUAUAUAUUAUUAUUAUUAUAAUUUUUAUAUAUAGAUUAAAUAUAUUCAAAAUUAUAAUAAACAUAUAUUAAUAAUAUAUAAGAUUUAUAUAUUUAAAAAUAUUAAUAAACUCAGAUCUGUGCAGAUCUGAAGACUAAUUUAUUCCAAUUAAUCUUAGAUAAUUAACUCUUCCAUCCUAAUUAACUCUCCCAAUUAACUCUCCCAAUUGACUUCUCUGGUUAAUUGUCAAUUAACCCUCGUACAGCACCCCUCCUCGUCCCUUUCCUCCGGCACCAGCAGCACCCUCCUCGACCACCGUUGCCACUCCAAACCCCGAGGGUGGCGUCCCAUGAGGCAACAUUGGUGAUCGGGGCUGCUGUUCCCGAUAGAGGCAUAGACGAAGAACGGGUUUCUAAGCAACGGAGAAGGCAUCCACGACGAUAAUGUCGAGGUGGAAGGCACGAUGAUGCUACCGGCGGUGAGGGAGACGAUGUCGACCCACCGACCACAACGAUGUCGAAUGUGACGAGGAUGUCGGAGUUGAAGCACCCUCGGCCCCAUCCCGGAGGCAAGGGGUAGUUGGGGAAGAGAGGGAGGUGGUAGUGGUGGGCGGCGGCAANCGAAUCCCACCAAAAAUCCGAACCCAAAAUCCGACCCGAAACAAUUAUUUUUCUGUUCAAUAUUUCAAAAUAUAUUAUAUUAAAUCUAAAUUUUUAAAAUACAAAUUUAAAUAUAAUAUCAAAUUUUUAUAUACAUAUUAUAUAGGGCGCGUUUGGUUCGCGCUAUCUUUUAAAGAUUUCUAGUAAUCUAAUGAGAAUAAAAAAAUAUGACGGUGUUUGGCUAAACGCACUAAGUAAUCUAGUCAGUAAUAUUGGAUUCACUUGGGAAUAUGAUUCACCCCAAAGUACUAAUCUCAUUCCCUUGAGGGAUGAUGGGUAUCCUCAUAUUAAUGAAUUUGGGUAAUCAUAAUAGAUCUAAUAUCUUUCUUUCUUCCUACCCGCCUGCUAAUUGAUAUUAUUUUUCUUUACACUCUAACCUUAUAUCUCUCUCUAAACUUAUUUUUCUCUCUAAAAUUCAACUUUUUUUUCUCUCUCUAAACUAAGCUUUCUCUCUCUCUCUCUCUCUCUCUUUCUAAAAUUUCAACUCUCUCACUUCCUCUAAUUUCGACUAUAUUUUUCUUUCUAUUUUUUUAAUUAUGCUCUCUCUCUCUCUAACUUAUACUCUAGCUCUCUCCCUUUUUUCUAAAAAGAUGUUGAAACUUUUGGUAACAUUAUCUAAAAUUAAUUAAAUAAAUUAAUUAAUUAAUUGUAUAUUUUUUGCAAUAUUAAAUAAUAUGGCUAAUUCAUAUUACUGUGCGAACCAAACACAGAAAUUCCACAUUCUUAGUAAUAGGAUGAAUAGGAAUAAGAUUCUCGAAUAUCUUUUAUUUCUAGUAAUUUUUCAUAAUGCGAACCAAACGCACCCAUAAUGUAAAAUAAAUUCGGGUUCGGGUUGGGUAUAGUCAAAAUAUAUAUCCGUAUUCAUAUCCGUCAAGUUUUUAUUUUUGAUAUCCAUAUCCGAAAUCAUAUCCAUAUAGCAUCAGAUAAAUUGUUCCGUUCAGGUUCAGAUUCAGAUAAAAUUUCGAGUAUCCGUAUUCAUUGACAUCCCUAGUGCAAAUGCAGUAACACGGUAAUAGAGUUUUUUUCUGCAAUUUUUCUAGAAUGCAUGACAAGUAGGUGAAUUAAUUGUGUGAAGUCGACUUAGGUAGAAGAUGGUGGGCUUGAAUUAUCGGACCAUCCUCGACAAUCUAAUGACAUAUAAUCGAAACCUGCGACCCGACUGAGCCAAAUCGGGUCCGGUCAAAAAAAGGAGGUCCCUAUUUUUUUCCUUUUCUUUUCUUUUCUUGAGAGAUAGAUAGCACGCUUCUUGUUUCGUUUAUUUUAUUUAGAAAUAAAUUUAUCUGAAAAUAUGAAUCAACUAGAAUUCGAACUUAGUGUUAGUUUAUAAGCAUGUUUAUUUGUUUAAUUUUAUAUAUUUUGUUGAAAAGUUGUGUCCUUUUUGUAAGAUGUGUCUUUUGGUUUAGGGUCAUGUCUUUUAGUGAAGGGUUGUCUUUUUUUUGUGAAGAGUUGCGUUGUUUCAUACUCUAUAAAUAGAGAGCAUGUAAUUUGUUGUGUAGAGUUGUGAACAUAGUUAGUUAAUUCGGAUUCGGCAAAAAUUCGGUACGGGUAUAAUUCGCGAUAAAUUCUUCUUUUAUUUUCAAAUUCGCUUGAAAAUACGGCGCUAAAAAACGGAUUGGAAUUAUUCGGAUACAUGAUUUAUACGGAUAAUACGCUCAACAUAUUAAAAUUCGACCGUAUAAAUUUGGCUUAAUUAAUAAAAUAUAUAAUAAUUAACUAUUACUUAUAUUUCAUUAUUAUAAUUUUUAUAUAUAGAUUAAAUAUAUUCAUAUUAUAAUAAAAUAUAUUAAUAAUAUAUAAGCAUUUUAUAUUAAAAAUAAUAUAAUUAUGAAUUACAAUUUAUAAAUAAAAUAUUAUCAUAAAUUUGUGUUAUAUAAAAUAAAAUAUAUAUAUAAUAAAUGAAUAUAUAUUUUAUAAAUAAAAUAUAUAUAUAUAAUAUAUAUAUAUAUAAUAUAUAAUAUAUAUUUAAAAUUGAGCUCAUAUGUUUUUAAAAGUACCAAUCAUUCGGUGCUUGUGUAAGUUUUUUAGUCCUUGGAUUAAGGAUGUGUGGUUAAGAUUGAAAUGCGGCCACUAGGGAUUGACGUGGUGGUUAAGUUGAAAUGAGUAUAAUCUAACGGGUGCAAUGAUCAAAAGGCGUAGAUCUACGCCGUAAAAAUAUUUACAACCCAAAUACUGGGUUCUUUACCAAACACCAUUAGCCGCGACUCUCAUAUAUAUAUAUAUAUAUGAUGGAGACAUGGCUACAUGUGCUAUUAAGGAAGCCACAGCCCAGCCCUGUGCUCCUAACUUUCUAGCCACCCUCAAGUUUGAUGGGUGAUUUAGAAAAAAGAUCGAGAGAUAUUGAAGAGAAUUUCAAGGAGAAGAGAAAUUGAGACCACUCAAUUUUUCCUACUAAUUUCUUUUCCCUUUUCUUCUAACCACCCAUCAAACUUAUGGUGUGCGGUAGAAAGUAAGAGCACAAGGAUGCUGGGCUACCUAAUAGCACAGUAGCCCUGUUGCUAUAUAUAUAAUAUAUAUAUAUAUAUAUAUAUAUAUUAUAAUAUAUAUAUAAUACUAUAUAUAUAGCAGUGAGGUCUACAUAUGCUAUCGGAAGGCCGGAGCCGUUUUGUGCCUCUAGCUUGUUUAUCGAUUAUGUUGCGACUUCAUUUCGCUAUGGCUCGUUAAUAUCUAGAGUAUUUGGAGUACCUAGAAAAUAAAAUCUUUAACUUAUUUUUCGAUAUCAUUUGACCUAGUGAUCGAAUGACUCUAAAUAACAAAAAUUCAAUGGCCAAUAGUGAGUCGUUGCAAGAUUUAACGGGCUGUAGAAUAUCCAAAUCACGUGAAUUUUGAUAGAAAAUUCUUUAUACUAUAUAAAACAAGCAUUAAUAUCUUUGUUUAAAAUUUUAAUGUACCAUAUUAUUACAUUUUGUUAAGAUUUUUAUUUUCAUGUCGCAGUUGAUUUGAGCCCCUUCGUUCACUUGCAAAUGAUACUCGUCACAAUCAUGAACAUUAUUUUCUUAUGAUACUUCAAAAUACUUCUUAGAUCAAAGUUUAACGCGAGCGGAUCGACGAUUCGCAAAGUCGCAACAUAGAAAACGAGCUUGGAAGCACGGAAGCGCCUCCAUACUUCCGAUAGCAUAGUAGCCUACUCUAUAUAUAUAUAUAUGAGAGGGAGGUCCACUGUGGACCUCCCCCUCAUGUGGUCCACGAGGCAGAAAUGGCCUCGUGGACCGCACGCCAUCCAUGCCUCCCAAGUCCCAAAAGCCGCGAUUUUUUCACUAUUCAACUUCCACUUUUUCGCAGACUCAGACGGGAUCCGCCGCCGCGGCCCUUGCUCCCGGCGCCGGCCAGGGCGGCGGAGGAGGACGACGACGCGAGCGGUGACUACGCGACCCUCGAUCGCGACUGCGAUCCCUGGUUUUUUGGGCGAAUAAUUCGCGAAUAAUUAUUUUUGACGGGAAAAAUGCGUUUUUUUUCGAACUUUUCGAAAAAAUACGAAAAUCGCCGUUUAAUUCGUGUAUUAAAAAAUGCGCGAAUAAUUCGCGUAUUAAUCGUGAAUUAACUAACUAGAUUUGUAAAGUGUGGAUCAAAUUGUAUUAUUCAGUUGUAGUGUACUAAAGUUUAGUUAUAUUAAUAAAGUUUGUUAUUCUAGUGUUAAAUACUUUUUGUAGUUUAUUUAUAUAUUAUCCCACCAACAUUUGGUAUCAGAGAUAGAACGAAACUCUGUUGAAAAAUGUCCACACAACUUCUCCAAACUCAAAUCCCAAAAUUAGUAAAAGAUAAUUAUGAGAAUUGGUACAUUCAAAUGAAAGCACUUUUCGGUUCUCAAGACCUUUGGGAAUUAGUUAAAACUGGGUACCAAGAAUACACAGAGCAAGAAGAAGCUGCAUUAAUUAUAGCCCGACGAAACGAUUUGAAUGAUUUAAGAAAGAGGACAAUAAGGCGCUCUUCUAUCUUUACCAAGCAGUAGACGAGUCGACGUUUGAGAAAAUUGCCGAAGCAACUUCGAGCAAAGCAGCAUGAGAUAUUCUUGCCACCGUCUUUAAAGGAGAUGACAAAGUAAAGCGGAUUCGUCUACAAAAUUUUCGAGCAGAAUUCGAAGCAAUCCGAAUGAAGGAGUCCGAAAGUGUCGCGGACUAUGUUUCUCGCAUUUUGAUAAUUGCCAAUCAAAUGAAGCGAAAUGAAGAAGAACUCAAUGAUGAACGAGUUGUAGAAAAGGUUCUUCGUUCCCUCACAUAAAAGUUUGAGCAUAUGGUUGUCGCCAUAGGAGAGUCAAAAGAUAUCAGUACUCUUUCUAUAGAUCAAUUGACAGGAUCCCUCCAAGUACAUGAGCAACGACUACAAAAAGUGUCUGAAGACGAGUCGACUAAGCAAGCACUCAAGUCAAAAUUCAAACUUGAUAAUAGAAAAAGCAAAAAUGGUAGAGAAAAUAAUUAUGAUAGAUAUAAGAAUCAAAAGAGGUAUAACAAUGACUGAUAGAGUAGUAACAACAGUGAUCGUAAUUCACGACAUGUAUAUGGACCAAAAAGAGGCGGAUGAAAUAACAAUCGCCCAGGGUCUUAUGGUGGUACAAAAUCAAACAUACAAUGUUAUAAUUGUAAGAAAUAUGGUCACUACAGCAAAGAUUGCUGGCAUAAGAAUACUGAAGGAGUGAAUCACUACAUUGACAACACUUUAGAAAAUGAAGUUGCAGAAACGUCACUAUUACUUGCAUGUCAAGAUGAAGUUAAAGAUCUAUAAUAUGUAUGGUUUCUGGAUUCCGGUGCUUCAAAUCACAUGUGUAGAAAGAGAGAACUAUUUGUUGAAAUGGAUAAGAAUAUUAAUGGCAAUGUGAAGUUUAGUGAUUCAUCCAAAGUACCUGUUAAAGGAAAAGGAAAAAUUAUGUUUAAAUCAAAAAGUGGUAAAGAAGAAUUCAUCUCCAGUGUAUACUAUGUGCUAGAAUUAAAUAGCAAUAUACUGAGUAUCGGACAACUGAUGGAGAAAGAACAUAUCGUUCAUAUGGAAGACUCUACUCUGACUUUGAAGGAUAAGAAAGGCAAAAUGAUUGCGAAUGUGCAUACGUCAAAGAAUCGAAUGUUUCCUAUAAACAUAAAGUCUGAAAUUGAAAGGUAAUACUACUCUGAAUUUAAAGAAGAAUCAAAAUUAUGGCAUUUGAGGUACGAGCAUUUAAAUUACAAUAGUUUAAAUUUAUUAUCAUCUAAAAGAAUGGUAGAUGGUCUUCCCGUUAUCAAACAUUCAAAUGCAAUAUGUGAAGGCUGUAUAAUUGGAAAACAAACAAGACUUCCUUUUAUUAGUAGCAAAACAAAAUUUGCAACGAAACCUCUAAAUUUAGUGCAUACUGAUAUAUUUGGUCCUCUUCCUGAGUCUCAUGGAGGAAAUAAGUAUUUCAUUAUUUUUAUUGACGAUUACACUAGAAAGAUAUGGAUUUACUUUAUCAAAGAGAAAUCUGCUGCAUUUUUCACUUUCAAAAAAUAUAAGGCUUUGGUAGAAAGGGAAAAUGGAAACAAAAUAAAAAUAUUAAGAUCUGACAGAGGAGAAGAAUACACUUAAAAUGAAUUUAAAGAUUACCGGAAUAAAGAAGGUAUUCAACAGCAAUUCACUACAACAUAUAAUCCACAACAGAAUGGUAUAGCCGAGCGAAAAAAUAGAACCAUUUUAGAUAUAACAAGAAGCAUGCUUAAAGAAAAAGCUUUGCUUAAGUCAUUUUGGGCGGAAACGGUUGCAUACGCAGUAUAUUUAAUUAAUAGAAGUCCAACUAAGAGUCUAAAGAAUGUGACACCGGAGGAAGGGUGGAGUGGAUAUAAACCUGGAGUUAAACAUCUCAAAAUAUUCGGAUGUAUUGCUUAUGCACAAAUUCCCAAGGAGAAAAGAAAAAAGUUAGAUGAUCAAGGCGAAAAAUGUAUCUUUAGUGGUUAUAGUAAGCAUUCUAAAACUUACAAACUCUAUAAUCCAAUUACCAAUAAAAUAAUUAUAAAUAGAGAUGUUAUUCAACAAAAAUGGUGCAUGGAAUUGGAAUAGAGAAGGAAAAUGAAAAGGAUCAAUAGAUCAGGAAAUUGAAGAAACCGACAAUUUGCCAACUGAUAAUGACACUCCAUCACCAAUGACUCCAGCGUUAGCAUUAUCUGGUCCUUCAUCAUCCACUCCUUCAAGUUCAUCAAGUCCAGUCAGAUUAAGAAGACUUGAAGAUAUAUACAAUGAAACGGAUGUGAUUGAUAGUGAGAAUUUAUUUUGUUUACAUCUUAACAAAGAACCAUUAACUGUUGAAGAGGCUUUACAAAAGGAUGUUUGGCGCACUGUAAUGAAUGAAGAAAUUAAAGCAAUAGAGAAAAAUAAGACGUGAGAACUAACUUCACUUCCUAUAGAACAUAAAGCUAUUGGAGUAAGGUGAAUAUACAAGAUCAAGCCCAGUAUUGAUGGACAAAUAAUACAAUAUAAGGCACAACUAGUCGCAAAGGGAUAUAAACAAGAAAAAUGUGUAGACUAUGAAGAAGUAUUUGCACCAGUAGCCUGACUUGAUACAAUGCGACUUAUUCUUGCAAUAGUUGCUUAUCAUGGUUGGCAGGUACAUCAAAUGAAUGUAAAAUCGGCGUUUUUAAAUGGUUUUCUUGAGGAAGAAGUUUAUAUUGAACAACCUCCUGGCUACAAAAUAAAAGGUGCGGAAGAUAAAGUUUACCGUUUGAACAAAGCUUUAUAUGGCUUAAAACAGUCUCCACGAGUUUGGAAUACUCGUCUUGAUAAUUAUCUUCAAAAUAAUGAAUUUUAUAAUUGUCCUUAUGACUAUGCUACAUAUAUCAAGAAAAAUAAAAAUAAAAAAGAAGAUAUUUUGAUUAUAUGUGUGUAUAUGGAUGAUCUACUAAUCACAGGAUGUAGCAAAGAGGUGAUAAAUGAUUUUAAGAGUAUCGUAAUAAAAGAAUUUGAUAUGACAGAUUCAGGACUUACGUCAUAUUUUCUUGAUAUUGAGGUGAAACAAGAUGAAAAUAGAAUCUUUAUCACUCAAAAGAGAUAUGCUGAAAAUAUUUUGAAGAAAUUCAAAAUGAAAAAUAGUAAAGAAAUUAAUACACCGACUGCACGUAGAACCAAACUAAGCAAAAGUGACACUAGAAAGAAAGUUAAUUCUACUCUAUUCAAAAGCCUAGUAGGAAGUCUUCGCUAUUUAACAGUGAGUAGACCAGAUAUUAUGUAUGGAGUCGGAUUAAUCCACGGAUAUAUGGAAAAUCCAAUGGAAUCGCACUGGCAAGUUGCAAAACGAAUUUUGAGAUAUAUAAAAGGUACCAUUGGUCAUGAAUUAUAUUAUACAAAAUCAAAGAAUUAAAAUUACUUGGGUAUACAGAUAGUGAUUGGGCCGGAGAUCAAGAUGAAAGAAAGAGCACUACGGGGUACGUUUUCUUUAUGAGUUCUACAGCUUUCACAUGGAGUUCUAAAAAAUAGCAAAUCGUCACCUUAUCAACGUGUGAGGUUGAAUAUGUUGCUGCGACAUCUGGAGUUUGUGAAGCAAUAUGGUUAAGAAACAUACUACAAUAAUUGGGCUAUACUCAAAAUUCUCCUACUCCAAUAUAUAUUGAUAAUAAAUCAGCGAUUGAGUUAUCUAAAAAUCCAGUGAAUCAUGGGAGAAGUAAACAUACACAAGAUAUCAUUUUCUUCGUGAAGAAGUAAAAAAAGGACGAGUUGAAUUAAUUCAUUGCAACUCUGAGGAGCAGCUAGCGGAUUUUUUUACCAAGCCGUUACAAUUAGAAGUUUUCAAAAAUUUAGAGAAAAACUUGGAAUUCGAAAAUGGUAAAAAAUUUAAAUCAAUUAAAUUUAUAUAUAUUGUCGGGUGUGGGACUUGAACCCACGACUAACAAGCAUAGAUUUUUUUAGGUUGCUCCCUCUAACAAUGCAGGCUAUGCAAACAAAUUACAAUUGUUACAAAAAGAUAAUUAAUAUUAUUGAUGCAUCCUGUUGAAUGUAAUGAUUUGAGAGUUGACUUGUUGACCACCGGUAGUUAUUAACCAAUGGGUAGUUGAUAGUUUUAUAUUUGAAAAGUUGUCUUUUAAAACUUGAAAAGGUGUCUCUUUUAUAUUGGGACACCUUAUAUUUGAAAGGGUGCGUCAUUUAUUUUUAGAAACAUUUUCAAGCCUACAAAUAGUGAAUAGAGAAUGAUGUUUUUUAAAAACAAGCUGAUAUUUAAACAUUGAAGAAAAGAUAAAUAUGGAGAAUAAAGUGACAGUAAGAAUGUCCUACAAAAGUCUACUUCAAAAAUACUGUCAGAAGAUGUAGAUGUCGCUGCCACAAUAUCGCACUUAUCAACAAGGACCUAUUCACGUUCUAUAAUUUUAUUCGUUUGUCAAAUUCAAAAAUUCCACUUAUAUGGGUGAUGUGAAAAAAAUCAAAGGAUGUGAAACAAGAUGUGGCACAUUUUUCUUUUAUGAGUACCAAAGGUAUGGUUUCUCUUGAUCAAAGAAUUUUUUUUUUUUUUUUUGAGAGAUAGGUAGCGCGCUACCCGCUUCGUUUAUUUCAUUUAGAAAUAAACUUAGCUAGAAAUGUGAACCAUUUAGGAUUCGAACUUGGAUUUCGGGUACCAACCAUCAAGCCCUUUGCCACUUGCUCUAGGGACAGUUGGUGAUCAAAGAAAUUUUCAUUUAGAGAAACUUGCAAUAAAUUUGGAAAAAGAAAAUAUGGCAUUGAAUUUGGAGAAUAAAUUCCCGGAGAACGUAAUCAACAAGCAGGCCUCCAAAAUUAGGAGUUUGAUUUCAGACAAGAUAGUCUUAUAGGAAAGACUCCAAGAUUAUGAAGACCCAAUUAAAAAGAGAUGUCGAUAGUUUUGCAUAAACAAGCUUAAAGAGGAAUGUUAGUUUAUAAGCUUGUUUAUUUGUUUAAUUUUAUUUGUUUUGUUGAAAAGUUGUGUAUGGAAAGUUGUGUAUCUUAUGAAAGGGUGUGUCCUUUUUGUAAGGUUGUGUCUUUUGGUUUAUGGUCAUGUUUUUUAGUGAAGGGUUGUCUUUUUUUCGUGAAGAGUUGCAUCGUUUCAUGCUCUAUAAAUAGAGGGCAUGCAAUUUGUUGUGUAGAGUUAUGAAGUGUGGAUCAAAUUGUAUUAUUCAAUUGUAAUGUACUGAAGUUUAGUUAUAUUAAUAAAGUUUGUUAUUCUAGUGUUAAAUACUUUUUGUAGUUCAUUUAUAUAUUAUCCCAUCAACACUUAGAACCUCGGGUACUAACAACCAAGUCCUUUGCCGCUUGCUCUAAGGACGGUCGGUUGGACCCAAAGUAAAAAUGUGUGUGUGUGUGUGUGUGUGUGUAGAGAGAGAGAGAGAGAGAGAGAGAGAAAGUCAGGCUACUAUACUCUUAUGAGUACGAUCGUCCUCGUACUCAUAAGUCGUUUUCAAUAAUAGAUCUUCCGAAUCAACGAUCCAUACUGUUAAACAUUAUCUAGAGCAUUUAAAACUUCUAGAAAUCAAAUUUCAUAAUUCUUCGACAUUAUUUACCUUACGAUCAAAAGCUCACAAAAUUGACAAUUUUUAACCGCCGGUAUGGGAUACUUACUAGUUUAACAGUGUAAAAGAAUGGGAAUAGGUUGAAUUUUUGAUAGAAAAUUCUAUUCACUACCUAGAUAAAGAUCAAUAACUCCGAUCUUAAAUUGAAGGAUCCAAUCAUCCAUUUUUAAGACGUCGUUCGAUUUUGAUCGUUCAUUUUAUGUCCAUUUGAUGGACUUUAUUAUGAUUUCGAAAAAUUACGAAUUCAUCUUUUAGAAGUUUCAAAUACUCUAGAUCAUAUUAAACGGAAUGGAUCGUCGAUUCGAAAGCCCCAUCAUCGAAAACAACUUAUGAGUACGAAGGGCCCAAUACUCAUAAGAGUAUAGUAGCCGGACUAUAUAUAUAUAUAAUAUUUAAAUAGUAUAAUUUAAUAGAGUCCAUUGGAUAAAAUUGGCUAUCACUGUAUCACUGGGACUCUUGUUUUAUUUGCAUUGUUGGUAAGUCGAGGCAGGCACUGAACCGAAUGUUCAUCCAGAAAUUUCAAUCUCUGUAGAAUGUUUGUGGAGAUACGAUAUCAUCCUUUGUCACUCUCGUGCAAGAAAACUGGUCGCUAUGUCUUUUUGUUCUAAUAUCCUCUUAGAAGCAUCUCAGAUUAUAGUUAAAAAAUCUUUUUCUCUCUUCUUUUUUCGAGUAUUAUGUGGGCUUGGGGGGUUGGCUGCAGCAGAUGGGUGGGGGGAACAAUGGGUCGCGCGCGCGGGGUCGCGGGGAUUGGCUGCAGAGUAUGGUCCGCGGUCGCCGCGGACGGGCUGCAGAAUGGGCUGCAGAGGAUAGGUCGCGGUUCUCCGGGGUGGGGGAGGGCGCGCGGUGGUGGGGCGGGCUGCAAGAAGGGGUGCGCGGUGGGGGGGGGAGAGUCUCAGCGACGGUGAGUGGGGAGGGCUGCAGAGAAUCGGGUCGCGCGCCGGAGCGGGGGAGGGUCGCGCGGUGGGGGCGGUGGUGGUAGGGGCGGCUGCAGAGAUGGUCUGGCGUGUGCGGGCGUGAGGCGGGGGGAGGAGGCGGGAGGGCGGGGGGGAGGGAGGAGGUGCUUUCCGGCGUCUCCGGCAGCGCUCAAAGAUACAGAGGAGCUCCACUAUUCCACAGGAGAGAGAGAGGGAGAGAGAUUGGGGGAGAAAGAGAAGAGGUGAAGCAUUCACUGUAGAGGGAGGGAGAUAGCCUGGGAAGAAAAAGAGAGAAAAGGAAGAAAGAGAAAGAGAAAAAGAAAAAAGAAAAGACAAAAAAAAGAGAAGAGAGAAGAAGUCCGUUAAAUCUAACCCAUCUAACUAUGGAUUUUCCUUUUAAAAGGCCACUCAAUCUCAGCCGUCCAUCUAUUUAGAUGGAUGGUGGAUGCUUUAAUAGCACAGGGACUGCUGUGCUCUUAAGAGCACAGCAGCCCUACUCUCUCUCUCUCUCUCUAUAUAUAUAUAAGCACGGAGGCCUUCGUGCUCCUAAGCCGUUUUCGAUGAUAAAGCUUCCGAAUCGACAAUCGGUUCCGUUAGACUUGAUCUAACAUAUUUGAAGUAUCUAGAAAAUAAAUUUUAUGAUUUUUUGAUAUCAUUUACCUAGCGAUCGAAAGGGUUCAAAAUCAACGGCUGAAAAUAAAAAUCUCACAAAAAGUGGUGAUAUAGCACUAAAAUUUUUUAUCAGAGACAUUGAUCUUGCUGUAAAUAUUAUAAAGAAUUUUCUAUCAAAAUUUCAUAUGAUUUGAAUACUUUUACACCAUUAAACUUGCAAACGGUAUAUAUCAACCAUUAAAAAUUGUCAAUUUUGUAAACUAUUUCGAUCACAAGGUAAAUAAUAUAAAAAAACCACAAAAUUUACUCUCUCUCUCUCUCUCUCUCUCUAUAUAUAUAUAUAUAUAUAUAUAUAUAUAUAUAGUACGGCUACUAUACUCUUAUGAGUAUAUAGCCCUUCAUACUCAUAAGUUGUUUUCGAUGUUCUGGCUUCCGAAUCGAUGAUCCACACCGUUAAACAUGAUCUAAAGUAUUUGAAAUUUCUAGAAAAUAAAUUUCGUAACUUUUCGAAAUCAUUAUAAAGUCCAUCAAGCGGAUAUACCCUAAAAUGAACGGUCAAAAUCGAACAACAUCCUAAAAUGAAUGAUCGGAUCCUUCAAUUUAAGAUCGGGGUUAUUAAUCUUUAUCUAGGUAAUGAAUAGAUUUUUCUAUCAAAAAUUCAAGCUAUUCGGAUUCUUUUACACCGUUAAACUAGCAAUUAUCACAUACCGGCCGUUAAAAAUUGUCAAUUUUGUGAGCUAUUGAUCGUAAGGUAAAUAAUAUCGAAAAACUAUAAAAUUUAAUUUCUAGAAGUUUUAAAUACUCUAGAAAAUAUUUAACGAUAUAGAUCGUUGAUUCGGAGGCUCUAUUAUCGAAAACAACUUAUGAGUACGAAGGCGAUCAUACUCAUAUGAGUAUAAUAACCAGACUCCAUAUAUAUAUAUAUAUAUAUAUAUAUAUAUAUAUAUAUAGAGUCCGGCUACUAUGCUAUUAAUAGCACGAAGCACUUGGUGCUACCAAGUUUUCCGCCAUUAGAUCUACCCUUUUGAUCAUUUUCACCCGUUAGAUCAUACUAUUCAACCAACCACCCACUUAACCCCUAGGGGGCCCAACUCAUCCUAGACCGCAACAUUUUAAAAUCAAUGACUCAAAAACUUGGUAGCAUCCAGCACAAUGACUUGGUGCUAUUAAUACAAUAGACGCCUAGUUCUAUAUAAUAUAUAUAUAAUAUUAACUAUAUAUAUUAUAUAUAUAUAUAUAUAAUAUUUAAAUUUAAAAAAUAAGUGUUAGUUUAUUUUUAAAAAAAAACUAAUCAAAAUAAAAAAAAAAUUCUUCUAACUCUCUAUCUUUCUUUUUUUAAUUCAUCCUUAGUUCGAAAAGGAUUAGAUGAAAUUUUAGUUUUGACACUUCUCCUAAUUCAAAUCCACAUUAUGCACCUUGCAAAAAGUCUCAAACCCAGAUAUGAGACGGAAGUGUUAAAUAUAAAAAUAUUUAAAUAUCAUUCUCUGCUAGCUUAAACCUUUAGAGUAUAACUAUAACAAUCAUUUUGUAUUAUUUAACAGCCAUAGCUGUACUUACUGUACAUUAAUAUUUCAACACAUCGGUCGCAUAAUAUUUAAAUAUACCAACCUUAAUACAACUUGGUGUUAAUUGCAUCAUUAAGCAAAUCCACACUCUUGUACAUUGGUAAUUAGUGGCUACUGUACAGAAUUGUCACCCUUAACAGCAAGUAGCAAAUUUAAAAGAGAAAACUUCAAAUACCCCCCUUGUAGUUUCACUCUUUCUCACUUUAGUAUCUUGUGGUUUAAAGUGUAUCAAGUUAGUAUCCUGUAGUUUUGCACUUUUUCACUUUAGUACCCUGCGGUUUAAAGUGUAUCAAGUUAGUAUCCUGUGGUUUCGCAUUUUCUCACUUUAGUACCUUGUGAUUUCGUACUUUCUCACUUUAGUACCCUGUGGUUUAAAACCACAGAGUACUAACUUAAUACAAAAAUAAAACCACAGGGUAUUAACUUGAUACAAAAAUAAAACCACAGAGUACUAACUUGAUACAAAAAUAAAACCACAGGGUAUUAACUUGAUACAAAAAUAAAACCACAGAGUACUAACUUGAUACACUUUAAACCACAGAGUACUAAAGUGAGAAAGUGCGAAACCACAUGGUACUAACUUGAUACACUUUAAACCAUAGGGUACUAAAAUAAAAAAAGUGCGAAACCGCAGGGGGUUUUUGAAGUUUUCCCAAUUUAAAAAGAAGAAGAAAAAGAAGAAGAAGAAGAAUCUCUUCAUGCAUCAAUGUACUCUUCAGCAACUGAGGUUUAUUCAUAAUUUUGGUCGCUCUUUCGCAAUAACUGAAGGUGAUUGCUGAGGUGCUAUUUUGGGAAAACCCUUUUUUCAAUUUAGAAAAUAGCCUAAAAGACAGAGGACAUGAAACUAAUACUCUUUGGCCUUUCUCCGAAGCUCGUUAAGCUCGUUCUCGAUCUCAGAGUCUCGGAAAGGAAAAGCUGCAUUUGAACUGCUGAUUGCUGUUCUACCAUCAGGAAGUUCUCCUUUCUGCAAAUGAAAUGAGAAGCAAAAUUGUAGAUUUCAAUUAAUGCUGCAAAGCUGAAGAAUUAUGCAAAAAAUAUAUUCAUACAUAAAAAGUAGAGAAUAAAAGCUAGGCUGUGCCCAAGAAUUUUUUUAUCCAAAUUCUUUCGAGUCAAAAUCAAUGGUAGGGCAUUUCAUUGACAAUCCAGAGCAUUAGAUUUGAUCUGGAAUAUUUAAAGUACUACAAAGUAGAAACCAAAUUUUACAGGUUUUGGAUGCUUCUAACUAUGUAUCAAGUAGAGAUUGAAAUGAUUGGCGCAAAGUGAAUAAUUCCUCAAACAAAGUGAAGGAUUCCUCGGCUGAAAAUAAUAAUAGCCAUUAUUCUUGAUUUAGAAAUAUCUAAUGUUUUUAAAACAAACUUCGAAGUUUUAACCCAACUCAGAAUCAACCCAAAAGACAUAAUAUAUCAAACGUUCUGAUUCUUAAUUUUGAGACUGCCUGAAGCUCAAAAGCAUAGAAAAUUUACGAACAUUUGGUAUAUGGUAAUUUCAAUAUUCUUACUCAUGAUCUCGGAGGCCUCAUUAUCAAGAAAACCAUGGCUUGUUACAGCAAGUUCUCCGGACACAAAACAAGUUCCCCUGGCCGUGAUCUACUUGUUGUUAAUAGAUUAUUACAAGUACUACAGUUGAGAGACUUUGGGGCCAAAUCCUUCUCAAAAUCGGCAUUAGAGUAUUUGAAUUGACAACCCAUACUGCUUAAUGAUCUAGGGUAUUUAAAGUUACUAAAAAUAAGAAAUUUAUGAUUUCUUUGGCAAAACAGUCUCAAAAUGACGAUCUUUUUUUUUUUUAGAAAGAGAAAGAUAGCAUGCUACCCACUUUGUUUAUUUUUUUAAAUAUAAACUUAGCUUGAAAUGUGAAUUAACUAGAAUUCGAACAUGGGACCUCAGGUACCAACCGCCAAGCCUUUUGCCACUUGAGCUAGAGACGGUUGGUCUCAAAAUGACAAUCUUAACAAUUGAUCUAAUGUGUUUAACUGUUAAACAUAAUUCAAAUACGUUUUGGUACGAAAAUAUUUAUAAAUGAGUUCAUAUAGCAAUAGAAUACUGUCUAAAAAGUAUUUUCAACUUAUGCUAUUCAUUUUUGGACCACUUGACGCACAAGCAAAAUCUCCCUCCCUCCUUCCCCGUGUGUGGGUGCGUCUGCGUGCUUGUCUGUGAGUAUGUGUGUGAAUGUGUUACUCUUUGACUAUUUGUCUGUGCCUUGCAAAAUCAUCCAUUUUCUGAAUAACCUUAUCGCAAUUUGGGUAGUCAUCCAAUUCAAGGGGGAAAGUUGGUUUUCUGUAAGAAAAUUUCUAAGGAUGUCUCUAAAUGUGCAAGGCUACUUAUGUAAAAGAUGAUUUUUAAAAAGGCCCCUAUAAAAAUUAUUAUAUUGCAAGGCUCUAUUAAAUAAAUGAUUGCACAGAGGUAUAUAAAUGAAUAUUUUUUAAAAAAAUUGACAGAGUAAAGAUAAUGCAUAUGGUCUGAGAAGAAUAGACUACCACAGAGCCUUCUGAUAAUUCUCUUUUCAUUUUCGCAAGAUCAUCAUCCACUGAUGAGCUCUCGAGCAUUGCAAACUGCAACGAACAAACAGCAUUUUUAAAUGGGAAAUAUAUAUUGUUCGCACAAGACAAAGUAAGAUAAACGUGUCUUCGAGAACAAAUACUACCUUCCCUUCGAGAUCGUCAGUUGUUAACUGAUUAAGGGCCUCAGCUUGCGAUUCCAUCGCUAAAACUAUCAAGUCAAAUAAUCCCAGUCAACAAUUUUGGAACAUCAAUUUGGUUGUUAUGCAAUCCAUAUAACAAUAAGAACCAUAGUUGAAGCGACAUUGUGCAAUAUACUCCAAUCUUUUUGAUAGAAAAGUUUUUAUAUUUAGAUCUUAUAUUUAGUCUAUAGAGGAGUGCAUUAUAAUUUAUCUGCCAUAAAUGCUCCAAAAGAGUUUGAAAAAAAAACAAGAUAUACCCUUUUCCUCCAUCUUCUCAAAUGCUGAAAGAGCACUACUUGUAUCCACAUUUCCUAUCAUUUCGCUCACUUUUGUCGCAGUCCUAAAGGCAAAAGUUACUCUGAUAUUUAGUAUGUACAAACUUGAGAGAAAGAGAAACAGGUGAUUUUAUCUAUAAAGAAAAGGAAGACAGACUUGGCUGUUUGAGCACGGGCUUUUAGAGUAUCCUUUUUCGACUUGGCCUCUGCUAUCUUGCUCUCUAAAAGCUACCAAACAGAAUGAUCUAAUUAUAGCCAUUCAGAAUGGUUAAAUUGGACUGACGUGCAUCCAGAUACAAAAAAGUUGUAAAAUAUCACAAUAAUAGAUACUUGGAGAUUGAAAACAUUUACAGCUAUAAAUGUGCUAUGAAGAACAUUUAUACAAUGAUUUUCUUGUAUUGCCAACAAACACACACACGCACACACACACACAAGCUGAAUGUAAAAAUGUAAAUUAGGAUCUAAACAAGUUAGCAUAGGAUCUACAUUUCUUUUAUAAUUCAAUUAAGCUUUUUCCCAUAUUAAGCUUAAAUAAGGAGGAGCAAUGCAUUUCCAUUUUUCCCAACAAAACUAUGAAAAGAUGAUCCUCACAGAGAAUUUUUGUUUCUGGUGAAUUAUGAGACUUUGGACCAAAAGAAGGAAAGCUGCAGGAUUAAAAUUCAAAUAUGUCAAGUAAGGCCACCAAAAACCAGCAGUACAACUUAUUUAAAAUAUGAAGCCGAGCGGGAGGGAAAAGUCGCAAAGUAUUAGAUGCACUAUGGCAAGGUAGUAGUGAGAGUAUUGAACAACUACCAUAAGAUCUAGAUUUCUAACUUCUAAGGUAGAAGUUCAAUCUCUAAACUUCUUAAUGUUCUUUAACUUCUUCUUUGUUGCUAAAAAAUGCGUUGAAUAAAUAUAAAUAAACAACUGAAAUGAUCCUCAAUAACAAAUGAUGCUAUUGGCCAACAACAAACAGUAACUUCUACAAAAAACAAUGUAAGAGAAGAGGGAGAAAAAGGAUAAAAUUUGAAAAACUAAGAUUUUUCAUAUGGCAUAAUGAAGAAAGUGUACAACACGGUGCAGUAUACUAAGGAACAGAAAAAGCUAACCCGAGUAUUAGAGACAAGAUUAUCCACCACACUCUUCUGUUGAUCAAGCUGUGCCUUCAAGGAGCUUGCAUUGUCCUAAUUACACAACCUCACAUAAAAUUAGAAAAUAAUAAUUGAAAUAGAAAAUUUUUUAAAAAAAAAAACCUAGAGAAUAUCUACAUUCUAGAUUCCCUGAAUCAACUUCCAGACAAACAGCCCUAAGUUUUUUCAAGAAAGCCGGCUUAAAAAUUGGUGGAUGGCGCUAAUUGGUCUGCCGCUUCUUCACAUGUUGAAAUUUCCCAACCUCUCCUGAAAAGUAUUUUAAAGAUCUGCAAUGAAAAUCUCCCAUUAUGACCCCCGUAAGGACACUAGUCUAUAAGUUAAUAACCGAAUGACGGCAUAAGCUCUGAAACUUUACAUUGUUUAAGAACUAUAAUAAAGGCACAAUAAAGAGUGAAAUCGGGGGAAACAUAAAACCAUCAAAAGCUAUACUUAUUGGAACAUUCUGAAAGUCAUUCUACUAUCUAAAAAUAAAAAAAAAAGCUAAAACAUUGUAUUAACUGUCAAAAUUGUUCCAUCACUGCCCCUCUAAAUUUGCCUUUUAGGAGGACCAUAUGUCGGAAAACAAAUCAUAACGAAACCUUAAAUGGAUAAGAUAUACUGCAAUUAAGAUAAAGAAAAUUGUUUUUAUAAACAUUUAGUUUGCAAAUGUAAUAGGAUAGUUGGGUACCUAUAGUUAAUAUAAAUCCCGAUCUCACAUUCUCCCAUGACAGCUAACAUAUGACACACACACACACACACACGUCCCGCAAAAUCAUUGUUCAUAUCUACACAAGAAAAUUCCAAAAUUUUCAUAUAUCUCCCUCAAAAUUGCAGUUUCUUAACAGACACCUUAAGUUUAAGUUUGGUAGUCAUUCAGUUAGUUGCAUGGAGGUUGUAGUGUUAAAAUAGUAUUAUAAAAAGGGGCAGUUUCAUAAGAAUAAGGUAAUCUAUGCAAUAAAUUUUCUUCAAGGCAUGUAAAAAAAUUCACUUUUUGCAGGAAUACCAAGUACAUUUGUAAAUGAAAAAGUCUAUCUUCCACAAGGUACCCACAGCAUAAGAUUUACGUCUUUUUAGGGCUUCACGAGCAAGAUCCUCAUCUCCUUUCUCAAGAGCAAGUUGUGCUCUGCGAUACCUGCAAAGAAAAAAAAAAUGCAUGGAGUUGAUCUCAAGUUACUAAAUAUAUACCACAAAAUUGAAUAACACUUCAAAGAUAACAGCACCAAUCAUCAGAAGCUUGUUGUGCAGCCUUAUAUUUGUUCUCCAAGCGCUUCUGAGAAGCCAAUACCUUCAAUUCAACAAAGGAAAUCCAUAUUGAAAUUUCAGAUAAUACAAGAAAAAGAAAUUAAGAUAGACAUAUUAUGAAUAGCUAUGCAGUGGUAAGUGAAAGGAAAACUGAACUUGUUCGCAUACACAACAAAGGUACAAAAAUCUACUUUGCAAAUAACUAUUAUGAAGAAGACAACAAAAUUGGAAUUUUCUUCUCCCAAAAGGAAUAAGACAACAAAAUUAGGAAAAGCAAUAUACUCACAAACUAGCAUAACAAACUUUUAAUGAGGAAUAGAAUUCCAUAAUAACUUCCUACAUAAGAUAUUCACUUUGGUUAGUUAAAAAUAUAAGGAAAAGUAUAUAUACCUGUGCAGUCGCCUGGCGCAUCUUAGUCAAGUCAUCAUUCAUCUCAAGAACUGUUUGAUCCAAGAUCUUCUCCGGAUCUUCAAAGGAACUAAUGACUGCAUUUGCAUAGGACUAGAAAUGCCACAAAUGUACCACAAUCUAUACAUUAGUUAGAAUAUAAUGUGAACAAGAGAACAUAUCAUAAUGUGGCACCAAGAAGGAAACUUCAAAUUCUUACUUUGACGACCCUUGCUAGUCGAUCAAAUAGGUUCAUUUGGGUACGAAGAGCCCCACAUCUCAAUCUAUCCAAGUUUUUUGUUUGAACUAGCACAACUUUCAAGGAUUUCACUGUCAAAGAAAAAUAUUAGGAGAAAUAUCAGAGACCAAAAUAAAAUAUUUUGAUCGUUCACAUUGAUAACAUCUUCACAAACCAUAACCACAUCCCGCUUACUCAUUCAACAAUUCAACACCAACUUAUUGUAAUAUUACUACCAUUAUACCAAGGCAAGAACCUCACCAUUGCGAGGAGGCAAAUGAAACUUCUAGGAUAGUGCAUUGCGCGACUCAUAUAAUAAGGCCAAAUCCUCAUCCUUUUUAUGCUUUCUUCAUGCAUACUCAUAUAAACAUCUUCUCAAAGAAAUAUUCCUCAGAUAGGCGUUUUAUUUGCUACUAAAAACUGCACAAUCACAAUCUCAUUUUGCUUUUACAUUCAAACAAAACCCUACAUAUUUGGCUGGCUCAUACAAUAAUUCAAUACCAACUCAUUUUCAGGAUUCUAGCAGCCUAGCAUUAUAACAAGCCAAAAGUCUCAUCAUGAUGAGAGGCCAAAUCACACUUUUAGGAAAAUGCCUGGCACUACUCAUAUCACAAGCCAAAUUCUCAUCCCCUUUACAUGUUAUCUUUGUGCAUACUUAUAUGAAAUAUCUUUCUUUCAAUGAUUUUGCAUAAAAUGGCAUUUUCAUCGCUAGUAAAAACUACACAAUCCCAAUUCUUCCACUUUCUUAGGAGUAAAAAAAAAGAAAAAUACUUGGCUUAUUUGCACAGCAACUCAAUGCCAACUCAGUAUAAUAAGUUUCUUUUCUUAGUCAAGGUCCCAUCUUGCUACAAAAAAUCUAUUAAGACUACUACUAAAUCAUUUCUUAUAUAAGAUCAAUCCUUUGAGUAAAAUAACAUCAAGGCAAGUGUCCCACCUGUUGGUUUAGCUGAUCUCCACAAUGUACAUGAGUGAGCGUGAAAAGACCAUUCCAAGUCACUUCCUAUAUGCUAUAGGUAAUGCCGAAUAUAAAAUAUUAAAACAUCAUUCUCAAGCACAGAAACCUUUUGCUACUGCUUAGAUAGGGAUAUAAGGGGGAAUAAAGGAGCUUAUUUCUACUUAUUAUUCAUCCAAACACAAUGAGAAACACUUGUUUCCCUCUUAAUGGGAUAUCCAGAGAUCUCUUAAUGGGUUAUCCCGAGAUAACUUGUUACAAAGGGGAAUAAAAAAUAAUCAAUUAUAAAAUUCUGCAAUUAAUAUAUAUUACAUAUUAACUUAUUUACCAAUUAACUAACUAGCUAAUUAACCACUUUAUUUAAUAAAUUAAUAGAUAUUUAAUUAAAUAAAUACUUGAGCAAUUAAUUUAUUAUUUGUAAUUAAUUAGCCAAUUUAAAAAAUUAACUAUUUGAUGAGCUUAUCCAGUAACUAAUAUUCACACUGAUUAACUAAUUAAUAUUUUGACUAAAAUAAUUAAUUUCUUAACUAAUUAUCCAAUUAACUAAUAAAUUAAUUAACAAGUUGACUUAUUUCUUAUAGUUAAUUAAUUAAUUAAUGUGCUUUUCCAUUAUCUUAUAAAAUAUAUUCAUAUUUAUUAAUUUACCAACUUACUAAAUUACUAUCUAAUUAAUACUUUGAUGUUAAUUAAUUAGGUAAUUUUUUAUUUUAAAAUUAUAAUUAUUCUUAUUCCCACUGCUCCAGCCUAACCAUUCACAGCCCCAAACCCUACUUUUUCUAUUUCAGCAAUUCUAUUCUAGAAAAUGUAUCUGUACCAGGAAUAAGUAAGAUCAGCAUAUUCGUGAACCAAACGAUACCCUUUUUUAGAGUGUAACAAGUUUUUUUCGCAUGGUAGUUCAAAACACUAGCUUCAUUUAAAAUGAUAGAACAAAGCACCGUUCGAGGUCGCAUCAAAUAGCAAAAAAAAUUAUAGAGAUACGCUCGAAAUCAAACACCACACCUCCGCCAUUGAAGAAGGAGGUCCCGGGAGGGCGGCGAGAGGCGGAAACCCUAGCCGAGUAGGGGCGGAGGGUGGCGGAGAGCGGCGGCGGAGGCGGGGCCGCGGCGGAGAAGGGGAGACUAGUGGCGGAGGUAGCGGGGGGCUUCAACGCCGCCAUUGUCGAGCGAAACCCUAGCGCUCCUAGGUGAAGGUGGGGAGAUUGGGUUUGGGAGGGGAGGGAAUUAGGGUUUUUCCUGCGCCUUCGUCGGUGGUGAGGUCGCGUGGAGAAGGAUUGGAAAUGGGAAGAGGUGGUGGUGGUGGUGGUAAUGGCGUUGGCUUGUCCUUUCUCUAAUGAUUUUGUGAUGAUUUUUAUCGUCGCUUUUAGAGGACAAUUGGAUUGAAUUUUUUCCCUUUUUAAUUUUUGAAUUAAUUGCAUACAGCACCUUAUAAAUAUAUCGAAUAACAAGUAUAAUACUAUAAAAUUUAAUUUUUUAUAUUUAUUUUAGUUAAAGUUCUAACGUUUUCGAAUAUACCCCCUGCGAUUAGGAUCCGACAGAAAAAUAUAAUUGAGGGGCAAUUACUUAUAUAUUCCUGAAAAAUUUCCGACUUUCCAAUUUACCUCUCUUAGAAGGCUAAUAUUGAAAAUAUCCCUCCUACGUUCCAACCUAUUUCUAAUAUACCCCUUGAGUUAAAAUCUGUUAAGUAACUCUGUUAUCUCUAUAAAAUUACUAUUUUGCCCUUUCAAAUAUACCCUUCCACCAUCACUUUCUUUCUUAUUUGCCCUUAAAGUCAAGGGUAUAAAAAGUAUUUUGACUUUUGGUCUUUUCCAAUAUACCCCUCUACCGUCACCAACCUUUCUUAUUUACCCUUAAGUUAAGGACAAAAUUGGUAUUUUAAUUUUUUUUUAACUGUGGUAGAUAUUUAACUUACGUUUAACCCAGGUUAACUUAAUAGGAGAUAACUGCAAGGGUAUUCUGUAAUAACUGUGGAACAUAUGAGGAGUAUUUUAGAAAAAGAAAAAAAAAAGUAGAGAUAUAUCGGAUAUUUCUAAACGUAUGAGGGAUAUGUAGGCAAUUAUCCCUAUAAUUUAAUCAUAGGUAAAUAUUUAACCCUGAUUAGCGAAUGAGGUAAAUUAACAUUUUUAUCCCUCUUAUAAUAUUUGUGACAGCAGAGAGGAAGAAGAUGACCGUUGAAAAUUUUUAAGAGGACAUUUCUGUAUAAUUCUAACCGUUGGGACCUUUUGAGGGACAUUUGUGAUGACAAAAAUAUCAUUUUAUUUAUUCUCUGUAAAAAAAUAAACAAUACUCUAAUAGUAACAAACUAGAAUAGCAAAUAUAAAUAUCACUGAACUUUUGCAGAAAAAAAAUAUAAAAAGUUAAACUUUGUAGGGAUAUAUUUACUAUUUGAUAUAUUUAUAACAAGAUAUAUAAAAUUAACCCCUUUUUAAUAAUAAAUUUUAAAAAAAUAUUAUAAUUAUUAUAAAAAUACUUCAGUAAUUAAUUUAUUUAUAAAAUUAAACUUAUACAUUGAAUAAAUUAUUGUUUUCUAAACAUGUCGAAUUAUUCACCAUUUUUUUGAAAAUAUUAAAAUUAUUUUUAUAGUUUAAUGCUAUAUAUUUUUCGGAGCUCAAAUAUAAAAAAUAAAAUGAUUUCUAGAAUUUAAUGAUAUAUAUUUUUUAGAGUUGAGAUUUGAGAAAUAUAUAAGUUAAAUGAAAGUUAGAUCUAUUUUUAUAAAUAAAAAUUUUGAAUGUUUGCUUUUAUAUUUAAAAAUUUUUGUAGGCUGCAAUUGGAAGAAGGGAAGAUAUUGCCUGCACUUGGUGUAUCAGCACUACUCUGUACACCACACCACUAAUAAACGGGCAUUUGGAUUGGCCGAUAAGGUACGGAUUUUUAAAAAUCCAAAUUCGAACCGGACUACAGAAACUGAAAUUAAAAUUCAAACCUGAAUCCGAAGCAAUCAGAUUUUAAAAAUACAUUACCAAAUUCAAACUCAACAAAAAAAUCAAAUUCAAAAUCCACAAAAAAAAGAGAGCCAUUUCUCUUUAUCAGAGUUUAAACCUAUUAUCCUCAAAUCUAAAUUUUCAAAAUACAAAUUCAAUUUUUUAUAUAUCAUAUAUAUAUAUAUAUAUAUAUAUAUAUAUAUAUAUAUAUAUAUAUAUNGGUUCGAAUUCGACUUUGGAUUUGAGUUCAAAUGGGAUACAGAUAAUGAAUUUGGCAAGUUUUUAUUUUUUAUUGCCGUAACCAAUAUCAAACCUGUUUAGCAUCAAUCCAGAUUCAAAGUUAAGUAAAAUGUCAGGUAUUCGUACUCAUUGGCAUUCCUAAUCGACGUAGUUCUAGUUUCAAUAGAAAAUCAAAUUUGACAAAAGUUAAAAAAAAAUUGUUAUUGCCAUCCGUUAGUAUAAUAAUACUGUAAAGAUGAAUUGAGCUCCUAUACUUUUAAAAGUAUCAAAUUAUUGAUACUUAUAGAUUUUUAGCCAUUAGAAUAAGAGAUGUGCGAUUAGAAUAAUGUGAAACCCCUAGAGUUAAGUGGGUGGUUGGUUGAAUAAUAUGAUUUAAUAGGUAAAAAUGAUCAAAGUGGUAAAUCUAACGGUACAAAAUUUACAAGCACCAAGUGCUUGGGGCUUUUAGAAGCACCACAGCCUGACUCCUGUAGAGAUUCUGUUUAGUUGUAAGUUAAUGUUAGAUCCUUCCACGAAAGAUGGCUUCGGAUUAUUUGCAAGGUAACAUUUUGAUUUUGAGUCGGUCUUGUGUGCUAUUAGGAGCACGGAGGCCUCUGUGCUUCCAAGCUAUUUUUUAUGAUGAAGCUUCCAAAUUGACGAUCGGCUCCAUUGGACUUGAUCUAAUAUAUUUGAAGUAUUUAGAAAAUAAAUUUUGUGAAUUUUUAAUAUCAUUUAUCUAGCGAUCGAAAGAGUUCAAAAUCAACAGCUAAAAAUAAAAAUCUCAUUGAUAAUAUAGCAUUAAAAUUCUUUAUCAGAGAAAUUGAUCUUGCAGUAAAUUUCUUUCAAAAUUUUAUCUGAUUUGAAUACUUCUAUACUGUUAAACUUGCAAACGGUAUACUUCAACCAUUAAAAAUUAUUUAAUUUUAAAUUAUUUCGAUUCUUAGAUAAAUGAUAUCGAAAAUCUACAAAAAUUAUUUUCUAAAUAUUUCAAAUAUGCUAGAUCAAAUUUAACGGAACCAAUCGUCGAUUUGAAAGUCUCAUCAUAAAAAACAACUUAGGAUCACGAAGGCCUCCGUGCUCCUAACAUAGAGAUGUCAAUGGGUAUGGAUACCCAAAAUAUUACUCGAACCCGAACCCGAACAGGGCGGGUUUAUCCGAGCUAAACGGGUAUGGAUUUGGUUAUGGGUAUAGAAAAUAAAAACCCGACGGAUAUGGAUACGGAUAUGGAUUUUGUAUUUACCCGACCCGAACCCGAACCCAAACCCGAAUAAAUUAUAUAUAUACAUACUUUAUUUUUAUUUAUUUAUAUAAUAUAUAAAAUAUUUAAUAAUUUUUAUCCCUUAAAUCUUCAUUUAAGGGUAUGGAUUUUUAAAACCGGCCGGGUCCGGGUCCGGGUCCGGGUUCGGGUUUCGGGUUUUUGGUCGGAUACGGAUAUGGGUAUAGAUUUUUAAAACCCGCCGGGUUCGGGUCCGGAUACGGAUUUUAAUUUGGUUUUCGGAUUCGGGUUCGGAUUUUUAAAAACCCGACCCAAACCCGACCCGUUGACAUCCCUAUCCUAACAGCACACAAGUCCUACUCUAACAUUUUUCAAGGCAAUCCACCAAAUUAGUUGUAUGCUGAGUUUUGAGUCUUUUUAUGGGCUUUUUUUUGCAUUUAGCCUCCUGGCAAAUUUUUAUUUUAAAAAUAGUCCUGUCAAAAUUUAAUUUACAAAAAUGACUCUAAGCCUGUCACGCAGGCGCUACGUCAGCACCACCCAGGAGAGACUGGGGGUAGUUAAGUUAAACAUGGUGAACUAUUCACCGUGUUUAGUACGUAUAAAGAGGAAUAGGGAAUUUGUAUUCCUUUUCUUCUCUUUUUCAAAAAUCCGAACCCGAACCCGAAAAUCAAAUUAAAAUCCAAACCCGAAUUCGAACCCGACGGAUUUUAAAAAUUCAUACCCAUAUCCAUAUCCGACCAAAAACUCGAAACCCGAACCUGAACCCAGCGGUAUUUUAAAAAUCUAUACCGUUGGACGAAGAUCUAAGAAAUAAAAAUUAUUAAAUAUUUUAUAUAUUAUAUAAAUAAAUAAAAAUAAAUUAUGUAUAUAUAUAUAUAUAUAUAUNUAAAUAUUUUAUAUAUUAUAUAAAUAAAUAAAAAUAAAUUAUGUAUAUAUAUAUAUAUAUAUAUAUAUAUAUAUAUAUAUAAUUUAUUCGGGUUUGGAUUCAGAUAAUAUUUCGGAUAUCCAUACCUAUUGACAUCUCUGCUCUCUAUUCCUCUUUUCAAUAUACAAAAAAUACGGUGAAUGGUUCACCACGUUCAACUUAGCACACGGCCCCGGCCCUGCCCGCAUGGUGCUGACGUGGCGCCUGCGUGGCAGAUCCAAGAACAUUUUUGCAAAUUAAAUUUUAAUAGGACUAAUUUUAAAAUAAAAAUUUGCCGGGGGGUUAAAUGCAAAAAAAGCCCUCUUUUUAUGAAAAAUGGCUGUACAACAUUUGUAAGGAAAUUUAUUUUCAAGUUAAACUCAUGAGUUCAAGCAGUUGGGUUGGAUAUAAAUAUAAUUAUAAAUACAGUAUAAUAAAAAAUAUAUAUAAUUAAAAAUAUAAUAGUUAUAAUUAUAUAUUUUUUAUUUAAUUAAAUAUAACAAAAAAUACUAUAACUAUAAAUAGUUUAUUUGCUUGCAUAAGGUUGGGAACAUGUUACUGCCAAUGUAAAAGAGUACAUAUUGGAUUCCUAAUUUAUAAACCAAAGAAUUCAAUCCCAAUAUCCUAUUGAGAAAUGGAAAACGUUGGGCCUUUUGUUUCUCACUUGGUUUAAUCCCCUCAAACAAAAAAAGAAAAAUGCCCUCAAAAAAUAAUUUGCUAGUUAGAAAAAUAUUUUUCGUUCAUUUAAUUUUCAAAAAAAAAUACCAUUUUUAUUUUCCAAUUUUUUUUAUCCAGAAAACAUAAAAAGAAUAUUUUUCAUGAAAAGCUUCCUUUUUUUUUUUUGAAAAACAGUAUUGCACAGAUUUUCUAAGAACCAAACACCUUAUAAGGGUCUUCAAAUGCAUAGAAUUUAAUAAUAAUAAUAAUAAGAGCCCAGCUACUAUCCUAUUAAUAGGAUAGUAAUAGGAUAGGAGCAUUUGUCCUAUCAAAUCGUUUUGAAUGAUCGAAAUUUCAAAUAGAUAAUCAGCACUAUUGAAAUUGAUCUACACAAUUAAAAAUGUUUAGAAGCCAAAUUUUGUAAUAUUUAAAAAUCAUUAUCAAAUUCAUCUUAAGAGUUAAAAAAUACACGGUCAUAAAUGAAUAAUCUUCUUAAAAUAAAGAUUAGACUUUCUUAAUUUAUAAUCAGAGUUAUCAAACAUUAUCUAAAUAGUAUAAAACAUAAUCAGAGUUAUUAAACAUUAUCUAAAUAGUAUAAAAAAUUUUCUAUCAAAAAUUUAAGCAAUUUGGAUUGCUCUACACUGUUAAACAAACAAACGGCUCAUAUAGACCGUCAAAAAUUGUCGAUUUUACGACACUUUGAUCACCAUGUAAAUAAUUUUUAAAAUUUAUGAAAUUUAGUUUCUUGAUAUUUCAAAUACUCUAGAUCAACUUCAACGGCUCCGAUUAUCGAUUCGGAAUCUCUAUCAUCAAGAACCAUUUGAUAGGACAAGUGCUACUAUCCUAUUAAUAGGAUAGUAGCCGACAAAAGAAAUAAAGAAAUAGUCGAUCUCUUGAGAAAAUUUGUUUUACCGCCUAAUAGCUAGGGCUGGCAAACGAGCGAGCCGGCUCGCGUUCGACUCGUGUUCGGCUNUUGUGAAAGUAAAAUCACGGUUGAGAGAGAGUAGCCAGUUAGUUACCGUACACAAGCACGUAGGCCUAGUAGUACCUCAGCUUGAGGUUGGAAGUUGCGCUUGUUUGAUUAGCGCGCAUAGGCAAGAUUGCCUAAUGCUGGACUUAGUGUGAAAUAAUAUAGAGACGUACGACGCUCGAGUGUAGGUACUCGUGGAGUGUGGAUCUGACUCAGCCGAGUGAGCGUGUUGGCAGUAGCACUUCAGCAUUGCUAAGUGUGAAGCGGGCCAGAGAUCACUCGUAGGGCUGGUGGCUCGUACUAGGUGCAUAGGAGCCGAUAGUGGUACAUGUGGCUCGGUAGAGCAUGUCGUGUAGGACGACGACGGCGGGUAUUGCUUGGGGACGACCCGUACCUGGACCAUUUGUGGACUGUGGAGCCUGGGCCCUUUGGACAGGCGCAGUCAGCUGUGAGUGACAGCGGCCCGGUACCUACGUAUAGGGCAGAGUUUUGGUCAGGGCGGUAGUCCGAGCUGAGACCCGGGAGCGUGAAAUGCCAUAUAUUAGAGCAUGAGAUCGAUGAUGCACUAAGAGUGCGGUUGUGACCCAACCCGAGGAUGUGACAUGGUUUGGGGUCCUGGUUGCUCCUGGUUGGAGUGUAUGCGAAUUCCCAAAUGAGAAUUUCGCCCGAUGAAGAUUGGGUCUACGCCGGUGAGCAAGAGACGCUGUGCGUCGUUGAGACAGGUUUAGGCGGUAAGCAGGUUUAGAUAGGUUUAGGACGUUGGAUAUCCAGGUAGGAUACACUAUCAACCUGCAAUCCCCUUACCUUGAUCAAACGCUAGUACUGAGGGCUUUGAAAUCGAAAAACAAUAAAAGACCAUAUGAGAACACUAGACAAUAGUCCCCAAUUAGUAAAGUCGAUGACAACGACGACCUACACCACUAAGUCUACUAGAGGCAAUAAUAGUAACUAAACUAUAUGAAUAAUAGAAUAUAACAAAUAACUGUGCUAGGAAUAACUACUACUAUCAUGCCUCUAUGUUAUUACUAAAAACUAUAACUAAAAUAGUACACGCAUCAAAUCAAGAUAAUUGGAUAAAAUAAUAUUUUACAACCCAAUCGCUCUAACCGACUCAUAAGUCCAGUGAAGUCUGCACCUGCCUUAUGUCCAGCAUACACCUAUAGUGGUUCACUAUCAUGCAAGUUAUUGUUUCAUCAUAUCACUAAGCCACCCUCCAGAGUGGCACUCGAAUGGCGCGACCCCAAUUGAGUAUCAUAGCGCAUGUCACUAUCAAGCUCAAAUGGCUAGUAGGCUGUAACAUACUGGACCUUUGCAAAUUGCGGGGUUCGAGUGUUUGAUCAGUGUUCCGAGUUUUUCUAGAUAUUCUGGAGGGUCGUUGACAGUGUUCCGACCUAUGGCUCGUAUCUAGGGCUGGCAAAUGAGCAAGCCGGCUCGCGUUCGACUCGAUAUUUGGCUUGCUCGAGCUCGACUCGAAAUUAAAUGAGCCGAGCUUGAACAAAAAAAAGGCUUGAAAUUCAUUUCAAGCCGAGCUUGAGUAUUACUCGGCUCGUUCGAAUUAGGCUCGAAAAGCUCGAAAAGCUCGAAUAUAUAUAUAUAUAUAUAUAUAUAUAAAAUGUAUUUUAAUUAUAUAUAAGCUUUAAUUUAAUUUGGGCUAUUAUUGUUGGCCCAUAAAAUAAACCCAAUAAGUACAACCGUGCAAUUGAGCCAAACUCUAAAUUUACAUAACACACUCUCUUUCAGACUUUCACUGUUGCACAUAACCCUAAAACAUGAUAACAUUCAAAUUUCCAAAUAACCCUAAAACAUGAUAACAUUCAAAUUUUCAAAUUCCUAAUUUUUUCCCUCUCUCUCUCUCUCUCUCUCUCUCUCUCUCUCACAGACCAUCACCCAGCCAGGCAGUCAUCCUAACUCACAUUUCUUGCAAUUAUUUUGUAUUUUGAACUAUUGGACAUGUUGCAUCAAAUUGUAGGUAAUAUUUAAUAAAAAUUAAACUAUUGAUUAUAUAAUGUCGAGAAUUUCAAUCGGCUCGUUUAGAGCUCGAGCUCGGCUCGACUCGAAAUUAGGCUCGCUCGAGCUCGGCUCGAAUUAAUUUCAAGCCGAGCUUGAGCCUAGAUUUAGGCUCGAAAUUAAUUUCAAGCCGAAUUUGAGCUGACAUAAACUCGCCCGAGCUCGGCUCGUUUCCACCCCUACUAAUAGCUGAGCCAUUACCUCAUUAUUACAUAAUCAAGAAGUAACUUAAUUUAUUUCUCAAAAAAAAAAAAGAAGUAACUUAAUUUAGUAAGAACAAGCACAAAGCUAUUAAAUAUUGGGAAAAACUUCAAUAAGCCCCCAUGUGAUUUUGCACUUUUUCAUUUUAGUACCCUAUAGUUUAAAGUGUAUCAAAUUAGUACCCUAUGAUUUCUCACUUUAGUACCUUGUAGUUUAAAGUGUAUCAAGUUAGUACCAUGUGGUUUCUCACUUUAAUACCCUGUGGUUUAAAGUGUAUUAAGUUAGUACUCUGUGAUUUUAUUUUUAUAUUAAGUUAGUACCCUGCAGUUUUAUUUUUGUAUCAAAUUAGUACCCUAUGAUUUUUAAACCACAGAAUACUAAAGUGAUAAAGUGCGAAACCACAGAGUACUAACUUGAUACACUUUAAACCAAAAGGUACUAAAGUGAAAAAGUGCAAAACCAUAGGAUACUAAUUUGAUACACUUUAAACUACAGGAUACUAAAAUAAAAAAAAGUGAAACCACAAGGAGGGUAUUUGAAGUUUUCCCAAAAUAUUAAAAACGUAACCCAAUCAACCUCCAUAGAGAUUAGAAAAGUGAUUCACUAAUCUCAGAAAUGGUUAGUUCGCUUUAAAAUAAGGGGAAAAAAAGGAUAAAGAUAAGAGACAGAGAUAAAAAUAAAAAAGGAGAGAGAGAGAGAUUAUGACAUUCGCAGAUAAUAAUGGAAGAAAAAAGACCAUGACAAUUUUAAUUGACUUAAAAAGUAUUAGAGGUGCCUCCAUAUUGGCAACACAUGUGAUAUAUCAAAAAGGACAUCAAAUUCACAUUCUUUGUUCGCAACCCUUUCAAAUGAAAAGCUACAAGAGUACAUAGAAAUUGCAUACUCUCCUCAUCGAAUUUAAAGUGCCAAGUAUAGCUAGAAUCUACAAGAUUUGACAUUUCAGAAUUCGAGCACGAAGAAAAUACGAAGAAAAGAAAAAGGAAAAAAAAAAAAGAAGCCCAUGUCACUCGGGCAGCGGACAAAUUAUACCAAGCUCGGCUACGCAUUCAUCAAAGUGAGUAAAAGUUUAAACUAAUCAGUAAGAAGACAUCGUACCUGGAACAUAACCACAGAAAUAAGCCUCAAACUUUCAAGUCGAUGGUCCUAUCGCCUAAAGAGUAAUUCAGUACCGAUCAUGACGCCUGCGUUCGAGGCAAAAAGAUCAAGUAAAUUUCUUUUAGACAGAUUUACAGAGAUAUAUAUAUAUAUAUAGCUAGGCUCCUAUAAUAUCUAUAGUAUCAGGUCUCCGGUACUAUUAUCUCAUUUUCGAUCUUAGGGUAUUCAAAUCAACAAUACAUACCAUUAACACUGAUCUAGGAUAUUUAAAGUUUUUAGAAAUAAAAUUUUAUAUUUUUUCGACAAAAUUUACUUUAUGAUCAAACCAUUUCAAAAUUAUUAAUUUUCAAUGACUACUAUGACGAGUUUGUAGUUUACGGUGUAGAAGAAUUUAAAUUUAUUCAAAUUUCAAUAAAAAAUACUUUAAAGUAUCUAGAUCAAGGUUGGCAUCCUUGAUCUAUAAUUCAAAAGUCGUAUUCUCAAAUUUUAAAGAUUGCUCAAUUUCUACCGUUCAUUUUAACAUGAUUUACUUACUAAGUAAACGAUGUCAAAAAAAAUUAAAAUUUUAUUUCUAAAGACUUCAUAUAUAUUAGAUCAUAUUUAACGGUGUAGAUCGUUGAUUUGAAUACCCUAAGAUCAAAAAUGAGACUAUAAUACUGAAGCUCUGGUAAUAUAGAUAGUAUAGUAGCCUCGUUCUAUAUAUAUAUAAUUCGACUACUAUCCUUUCAUUAGUAUUCUUCGUACUCAUAAAUCGUUUUCAAUAAUAGAGCUUUCAAAUCAAUGGUCUAUACUAUUAAACAGAAUUUAUAGCAUUCAAAUAUUUUAGAAACCAAAUUUUAUAAUUUUUUUUAUUUUAUAUACCUUACGAUUAAAAAGAUUCAAGAUUGAUCAUUUUAAAAGCAGGUACAAGACAUUUCCUAGUUUGAUAGUGUAAAAGAAUCAGAAUUGAUUGAAUAUUUAUUAGAAAAUUCUAUUCACUAUUUAAAUCAAGAUCAAUGACUCUGAUCUUGAAUUGAAGAACUAAAUCCUCUAUUUCUAAAAGGUCAUUAAAUUUUGACCACUUAUUUUAUACCCGCUUGCUGGACUCCAAUAAAUUUUAAAAAAUUACGAAAUUUGGUUUCCAAGUAUUUCAAAUGAUCUAAUGUUUCAUGGUAUGGAUUAUUGAUUCGGAAGCUCUAUCGUCGUAAGCAACUUUAUAUGCCCCUAAAAAGUGAAAUUAUUUUUAUAUGCCCCUCAAAACUAAAUUUCUUACCAUGUAUCCUUGCAAGUACAAAGAUGUUUGAAUCUGAAGUAAGUACCAAACUUAAGAUAAAGGUCCUUUGAAAUGAAAUGGUACUUUUGAAGGGUAUACAGUAAGAGCAAUGUAUUACAGGGUACGUCUGUAAAAGGAUGACUUUAAAGGGGCUUACACAUAAUGUUAUUGAGCUAAAGCUGUGAUAAGAGUACCUGUGCCGGUCAUAAUCUUGAUUACGAUCCCUUGAACGAGAUCUUACCCUCCGACUGUGCGACCGACUGGAAUCCCUAUCCCGGUCCCGGUCAUAUUGACGAUCUCUAUCAUAACGCCGAUCACGAUCUCUACUUUCACGUUCAUAUUCUCUCCCACUCUCUCGACUAUACGAUUUGUCCUUUUUAUCUGAAUCCCGAUCCCUAGUCGAUUCUCUCUCGGACUGCCGGUUGCGAUCUCUCGACCUAAUUAUGAGUUAAAGGAGACGUCGUCAGUUAAUACUUUCAACUAUAAAUUUUUUUUUCUCAUGACUAGGGAAAAAAGCUGUACCUUCUAUCAUCUUCAAUCUUUCGCCUUUUAUUCCUCUCCUCCUGACAAAAGAUCAAUUUAAAUAUGAAAAGUAAUAAAAUGAAGGAUUGAAAUCAAAUGACAGGAUAACUUGACAUUGUGUAAGAAAAUUGAAUGACCAAAAUAUAAAUUUUAAAAAAUAAAAAAGGUAACAAUAUUGCGGCAGUAGCUACCACUUAUGAGGUCAGAUUAUACUGACUUUGAAGGUAAGUACGAGUCCAACAUCUAACAAUUAUUCAUAUGGCUCGCAAGAAAUAACUUCUUAAAACUGCACCUAUUUAUCACUUUCGACUCCAAGGAAAAUAUGUCAAAAAAUGAGAUAAUUUCAAUGUGUUAACCACAAUAUCAAAAUGCGUGGACUAAAGAUGGCUCAUACCAGAUAAAAUGUUGUGCACAAGUUUCAGUUUCUGACCCACGUUCUACCAAACAAUAGGCGAAAAAACCAACUGAAAGAUAAGCGGUCAUAAAAUGUAAAGGAAUAGAAGUUUCCACAAUCAACUUUAAUAUAGUUAGUACUAUAUUUCCUCAGCUUACAGUUUCUCCCACAUAUAGAGAUAGCAGUUGUCCAGGUACUGUGUACCGAGUCCAAUUAUGGCCCACCUUCGCUACUCCUGAUGAUGCCCUCUCGGAUAAUCAUUAUACUAUCCAAAUGAGAAAAAUGAGUGAAAGCAUAAUGAAACGUAACAGUGACUGCUCCUUGAGGUCAGAAAAACUCACUGAGUGCCAAAAAUAAGCGUUUACUCUCUAAGGCCAAAAGUGAAACAUUAUAACCGGCACCUGAUAAACAUGUCGACAGUUUGCACUUCAAAGAAAUUUUGUGGUGGAAAGACAAAUGCAAACAAAAAAAAGGAAGCAACCAUUGAGAAACUUUAGGAUGCAGCUUAUUAAUUAUUAAAUAUGCAAGAAGCACUAAAUUAGGCAUGAGAAUAAGUGGAACAAGCAUUAGGAAAGAAGCACAGCAAUAACGAAAAAAUCUACCUGAAGUUCAGAAAGCUUGUCGCGGAUCUGCAUGUAGCCCAAGUGUAGUUUCCCUCCAAAAUGAUCAGCAAGACGACGAUCACUGGAUACCAAAUGCCAAAUAGAAAAGCUCCCCCACUAAGUACAAUAUCCAUAUAAUAUAUUUUCUACUACCCACACUAGUCAAAGCAUACUGAUACAUACAUACAACCAAGAAAGAGCACAUGAUCAUGUGGCAAAUUGUUCUUCCUAUAAAUGGUGGUAGCAGAUAUGAUACAGUAGUAAGCAGUAAAAAGUACAAAGGGGCUGAAAACGUGUUAGAUAAUAUCCAUCAAUCAAGAUUCCAAAUCAGAAUUUUACUGAAUAUGGGCUUCGAUUUCCUUAUCCGGCUUGAAUCCUGAUUUUUAUUUCAGAUACACUUGAUAUGGGUUGUAGUCUCUUUGAAUAUAUAUCAGCAUAUCCAUAUGCUAAAGUUUUAAGUAUAUAAGGUGGAUGCUAAAUCAUGUGUCUAUUUACCACGCAUAAUAAUGUAAAAAAAAUGUAUAUUUCAAUAUAGUGAUACAUUUGAAAUAAGUAAGAUACACCGAUAUACAACUUGUAUACAUAUUAGUACAAAGCACUAUCCAUUUUAGUAUCCUUAUAUGCAUUUUUUUACUUUGAAGAAAAACAUGGAUAAUGAUAUGUUAAACCACUCUCUGAUCUGUUUUAACCCCAAGAAGCACACAAAAAUCUAGAUAAAAAAAAUGUAUAUUCCAUUAUAAUGAUGCAUUCGAAAUAAAUAAGAUACACCAGUAUACAACUCGUUGUACGAAGCACUAUCCAUUUUAAUAUGCUUAUAUGCAUUUUUACUUAGGAAAAGAACAUGUAUAAGGAUAUGUUUAACCACUAUCUGAUAUGUUUUAACCUCAAGAAGUGCACAGAAAUCUAGAUACCAAUAUUUUAUGUAAUCAGAAUCUCAUAAGCAGAAUACUUGACUACAUGGUAUAACAAGAAAAAGGGCAAUACUUGUCGUAGACGCUCAAAAAUGCUCCACAUAUGUCGCAUAAGCGUAACUUCUGAUCAGUCUGCAAAAUCGAACAUAAAUUUCAUCAUGAGUACUAUUGUACUUCAACAGUGCUGAGUUUCAUUAUGUUAAAUAAUAGAAUCAAUAGACUCAAUCUAAUCAUUUCCUGGAAGAAGAAAUUUUAAAAGCAUGCUAGUUACACAAAACUAACAAACAGCCAACAAUAGAAAGUAGAUCCAGUAAACAACGUAUGAGAACUUCAUCAAGCACAAACAGUUAACCCGUAGAGUUCCCAGAGAAUGCAGUAGUUGUGACUUUGAUGGGAAAUUCUGGAUAUAUGAAAACUGAAAUUUCUGAUGAUACCACAUCUUAAGGAAUCAAGUGUUGAAAAUCAUGAAAACAGAAAGGAGUAACUUAGCAGUUAGCCUACCAUGAACUAAAUGUUAUACUAAACUGUAAUUCUGUUAAGCCCAUUUAUAUUUUUGGCCCCAGUUAAGAGUCAUUGCAGAGUCCAAGGAACUGUAAAUUGAGACAAAGCCCAACUAGAAUGUUCAUUAUCUUUUGUAGCUAGACAUGAAUAUCAAUACGGUUAUAAAGGGGAAGGAAGAAAUUAAGCAAAUGGAGUACAAAAAUGUAUAUCUCAACGAAGAGCCGAACUCACAAUUCGAACAUCAGCAGCUGUGUAUUUUGAAGAUUCUACCAGGGGCUCCUGUCUUGCACCCAACUAAAUAACAAAGCGAAGAAAAAAUUGUAAGUACUAUUCAUGGUUGAUUGUUGAAGAGAAAGAAUAAUGUACUUCAAAGGUUAUUUUAACAUGCAAAAUCAGCUUAUCAUCAGAAAAUUAACAAUAAGCUGAUUACAAAAGCAAAGUAAAUAGUCUUAAGUCAGAAAAGGAGAAACCUUUUUAAGAGCUUCAGCUUCUUCCAAAGCUUUCUGGGCUUCAUCUAUCAUUCCUUUUUCACCUACCAAUUCCACGUGGAGCACAAAAACAAUGAGAGCAUUUCCCAUAUUCCAAGACAAAAUUAGUGUGUGAAUUGUGCUUCAGGUUAAGCAAAUAUCAUCAAUUUCAGCAGAAAGUGUUCUAUUACUAUAGGUUACUCUUAAGUCUUAACUCUGAUAAGGAUAAUACCCACAACAAGUUAUUUACGUCCUUCAAGAAGUUCAAAGCAUAGAAAAAGCUUAAUAUCACAUAGCAUACAAUCGAGGAUCUGAUAAUGCAAAAGAACAUAAAGAAUAACUAGGAGUACAGUGGUUAGAAUUAAUUUCCUUUUACGAAGUAAUGCUGUGACAUACCGAGUUCUUCAGCUUUCCUUAACUUUUCAUUUAUCAUUUCCUGGGUACGAGGAUCAGGAGGAGCAAGUACAGGCAGUGGUGCUGGUUGAGGGGUAUUUUGAUUUGGUUGUGGCAAUGACGCCCUGUCUUUGUUGAAAGCAUCAAGAAGUAGCAUUGCCUGAAAGAAAGAAAAGACAUCAUCUUGCAAUAGCUAAACAAUGCGUAAACAUACAUGGAACAGCAACAUAUACUAGGAAAUACUAAUUAGUGAUGGCUAAAGUCUACAUCCUAGAAUACUAUGAGGGUUCCAGUGACCGAACUUCAGAACGGUACCUGUUUAUCAGCUCUUUUGGCUCGUAGCUCUUCCACCACUUCCAAAGCCCGAAUUUUGCUAUCAGUUUUUCCUUCAAAAUCUGAAUUUUCAUGCAAUACGGGUAUCCAUUACUAAUUUACCACGAGAAAAUGAUUGUUGAGAAAAUGAAUUAUUAUAGUGAAACGAGGCAAUAGUAGUAAACAUUUGGUAAUACAUAAAGGAAAAAAGCAAAAAAAUCAGGAAAAACGAAGAGACGAUCUAGACUAACUAAAUCAGUGAUGAAUCUUGUAAUAGGCAACUUGCAAAAUCUGGAGAAUCUAACUUUUAGAAAAUAUGUCAUUUCUCAACUAAAAGAGACAGAUUUUAUGGCCGUCAAUCAUAUUCAUCAUUAGAACUCUCUAGAAAAUGUACAAACAGAAAACUUAUGGUGAUUCUGUGUCCCAUAAAAGUUGGAUUUUCUCAUAAUUAAACAAUUAUGGGCAUAUCCACAAGCAAAGUUUAGUUAAUUUAGUAGGAGCUGAGCAAUUUGAUUUAUUUACAAAGGUGCAAUUGACAUAAGUCCAACCUCAGCACAAAUGAAAGGGAAAAAAGUACAAGAAAAGACAGCAUAUGGAGCCUGUGAAGCUAAAUUUACCUAUUAAAGAAUCAAAGAAACUUCAAGAUAGCAAAAUAACUAUAAACAUCUAUUCAAUUCAACAAAAUCUGACACGAAGAGUCAAGCAAGUUAUGGUUCAGCGGCUCUGUGCAAUCCACUCUGCAAUCCUAUGUGUUGUAAUAGUUUUGGCUUUCUUCCAAGGAGUUGAUGUCAAACCCUUUACCCAUUAAUUAUGAGCUCCUAACACAAUAAGUGCUGUGUAUUAAGAUUUAUUACUUCGAGAAGUAAAUGGUCACAUUACCGUUCAAGAUAAAACUUGUGUUUGUUGAAUUAAAGGGUUCACAAAGUGCUCUUCCAGAUAAACACGCUUACUUGCACGCUCAACUAGAAGUGCAAUGGCACAUAAUUUCAAUCACUCAUAAUGUAUAUGUGCAUCAUCACAGCCUUUAGCAUAUAUGUAAAUGAUGGUUCAAAAUAAAAAUUUGCUCCACAAUCUGAUUUCAAUUUUCUCAAGAAAAUCAUUUUUUUCCAGUGGCUUUGCUCCCAGAUGGGAGGCUGACCAAGUCCAGAAACGGUUCAUUCUAUAUAUUCCUCAAUUGCUUGAUAGUUUUCCUCCAUUUUAUCUUAGUAGGGCAUCAGUGAGCCACUUUUAUAGUCACACAAAAUCAUGAUCAUUCAGAGGUACCAUAAAAUCUUCAUCUUCAGUUUCAAAGACAGCGAGGAAUAAUUUUGCAUGUAAUUAUAGGCAAUUUGUAAGAAUUGUUGUAUAAUUUAAAAUACCAUCAUCAGGUUUUGCUUAAAGAAUCCAUCAUCAGGUUUUGCUCAAAGAAUCCAUCACAAAUAUGUAAAAGAAAAAGGCAGUGUAAAAGAGAAAAAUAAAUAAUUUCAAACUUGAGAUACCGCUUCAAAUAUAUAGGACAUCAAAUAAGUCUUUAAUAUGAAGAAAGAAGUUACCAAAAGCAUCCACUUCUUUCAGCUUCUCCUUUAUUUGUUUUGAGAACUCCAAAAUCUCAGGUGUCUGUAAUAUAAUGGGAAAGUCAAAAAAAAAAAAAAAAAAAAUUUUAAGUCUUUCCUACGUUCAAUAGAUAUGCAUAUGAAAAAGGCAGCAGUCAAUACCUGAGUAACCUCUGAUACAGAUAUUGCAAUAGCAGCCUUAGCAUCCUCAUCAGCGAGACGCUUAAGGGCUCUUUGGAUUUUCCUUUCACACUCAACAAUAAGUCUCUCUAUCAUAUCCUCGAGUUCUCUAUCGAAAUUGUGUAUGCCUUUAGCUUUUGCUUCUUCGUAUCUAGGACAAGCUCAGGAAAGUAUUUAACUAAAGUAAUUCAUUUACAUCAUCCAAAAAUGCAGGUUCAAAGAAUAAGUUAUUACAAUGAGUAAUAAGCUUUCCACAUCUCUCCAUGUCUAUUCACAGAACUAUCUUUCAGCUACCCUUCUAAUCAUUAAAUCUCAGAGGAGGAUUGAACAAUUUGGUUGUAAAAUAAAAACCACAGAAAAUCUCAGAAGUGAGGAAUAUCCCAUGUCAGCAUGAUAAAGUAUAAAUGAGGAAAUAGGAGCAGCUAGAAAACCACUAUACAACAGCUAAGAAGAUAGUCAAAUAUUAACACAAGACAGCGCCAGAGCAAGACCUUAUGGAACACAACAAUAAUAAAAAUAUACUUCUUUGAAUUUCGGAAUUUCGGAAUAGCCUUCAGCUUUUCUAAUAUUACAUUGCUAGCAUGGAAGUAAAGAAAUUAAACAAAACACUUUUCUACUCCAGAGAGUAGUCAUUUCACAUCCCACGUACACACAAAAAACAGAAGAAGAAAAAAAAAAAAAGGCAGUAAGAUGAAUUAAGGAUACUCUUUUCUCAGCUGUAAUGAAUGAACCUUCGGACAAGGACCCAGAUCCAUUUUCUGGCAUAAAGUUGAGCAGUUGCAUUAGCAUAAUAAUUCAAAGAAAAGAAAACGGCUUGAAAAAUCAUUAUUCCAACUAAUAUUACACGCAUACAUACAAAAGAACCAAAUCAAUGUUCUCUGAUGCUUAACUUGCUUUUACCAACAUUCUUUAGUGUUUAUACUUCUCUUACGUGGCCACCGAACAAUUAUCAGUCCAACAUUAUAAUUAUUGCUAAUUUAGAGGGUUGAAAUAGACCCUGCAAAUAUUUUUCUUUUGAUCGAGAACCCUAAACUUCAAAUUAUUAUUAUUAUUAUUAUUUUCUUAAAUUGGAUUAUCAUACUUAGUAAAGUUAAUUUUUUUUCUUGAAUUUUAAUGACUCUAUUAGCUAUUGGCUGUUAAUCAAUCCAAUUUUAUUUAUAAAAAAAAAAAGUGAUUAAAAUCAUUACAUUUGACGAACUAUGAACGAAUUGGAUAGCAACAAAAUCCUCACUUCUUGACCAAAAUAAAUAUGAACGGCCAAAUAUGAAAUAUAUCUCAACCCAAAUAAAAAAGAAUUAAGCUAGAAUUCUUGUAAAGUACUCGUUCUUCGUAUUUCCACGCCGUUUCUAACGAUGGCGCAUCCGAAUCGACGAUCAUUGCCGUUAAGCAUGAUCUACAGUAUUUACCUAGCGAUCAAGCAGCCUCAAAUCCAGUAUUUAAAUAAUGGGUAAAUAAUGUCAAAAGGCCACAAAAUUUUGGUCUCUAGGAAGCUCGCGAGGCGUAGAUCAUGGUUAACGGUCAAAUCAAUAAAAAAAAUACGAAUUAGAGAAAGAAAAAAAAAGUUUGAAUGGGAGGGUUAGGGUUUGGAGAGGAAGGGAAGCAACCGUGAGCUGGAAGAGGUCGUGGGGGCAGAGGCCGACAAGGAAGAGGCGGCAGACGUCGCGGUCGUAGUAGCUGCGGCUGACCUCCCGCACGUCGCCGUUCCUGUUCGCCCCCAUCAGCACGUCCAGCUGCUUCCUUAUCGCGUCCAUCACCGGACCCCCCCCGCUUCUCCCUCUCUAACUCUCCACCUAGGGUUAGCGUUAGGGUUUCGAACUCGGAUUGGGAUUGGAUUUGAAGAGAGAGAGAUAGAGAGAGAGAGAGAGAGAGAGAGAGAGAGCUAGGGUUAGGGUUAGGGUUAGGGUUUGGAUUUGGAGUUAAAAACGAAAAAGAGAGAGAGAGAGAGAGAGAGAAAGAGAGAGAGAGAGAGAGAGAGAGAGCAGUUCUCGACACCUCCUCCGGUGGCUGUAGGGUGGGGAGGAGGAGAUACACUAAUAAACGUGUUUGGCCCAGCAUUUAAAUAUGAUUUGAAAUUUUAAAAUUUUAAGCUUGGGCCAGCAUUUAAAUAUGAUUUGAAAAAUUAAAAUUUUGCUUAAAACCUAUUAUUGAUUAAAAUAGUAUAUUUAUUUUAUUAUAUGUAAUAAUUUAUUUUAUAUAAUUUCUUUAUAAUAUAUAUAAUAAAUAAAGUAUAAUACUAACAAUAUCCAUAUAAUUUUAAUUAAUAAUAGUAUAAAUUUCAUUGACGCUCUCUAGCGCAAGUGGCAAAGGGCUUAGUGGUGAGUAUCCGAGGUCUCCCAAAUUCGAAUCCUAAUUACUUCUAAAUGAAAUAGCAUUAACCUGCUACCUAUCUCUAUACAUAUAAUACAUGAAAAAAUAAUUUUUUAUAUAUAAUACUUAAUAUAAAAUAAAAUAAUUAAACAUAAAAAUAUAAAUGAUAAAACUUAAUAAAAUAAAUAAUAUAACAAAUUUAAUUAAUUUAUAUAUAUAAAUAUUUAUAUUAAUAUAUUUAUUUAUAUAUCUAUUUAUCUAAUAAAAUAAAAAAACAUGACAAAGUUGUUCUCAAUUUUUCUAGAAAUAAUUUUUAACGGAUUAUUCCAGAACAACCCAUUUUCUGAAGUUCUUCCACCGUUUGGUUACAAAUUGGGGGAUGUCCGGUCUUGUUCCGGGAUAUCCCGCUACCAAACGCAGCCUUGAAGAAUUUUUGGCUAAGUUUAAAUUAAAAAAAAAUAAGUAUCUUGAUAAAAUACUUUUUGUGUUUAUAAAUAAAUAAUAGUAUAAUAUUUUGUACUAAAUUUGUAAUAUACUGAACUUUUGCAAAUUGCGGAGUUCGAGUGUGUGGCAUGAGUUGUAGAACUAUCCAACAUGUUCUAAAAGGUUUGGAUAAGUUUUUGGACAAGUUAGAGAGUGAUCGGAUUGCCGGAGACAAGAAAGUGCAUUGCUUCUGCGCAUUGGGCAGAUUUUGCAUUGUGUACCGGUACAGGCAUUAUGCUGUACCGGUACAGCAAGCAGCUGAAGCUGCAGCUGCGUGGCAGUAAGGCUAUUAUGGUCUUUUCACUUCUCCUACUCAUCCUUAUCCCUCCCAGCUAGACCCUGAGGUUGUAUUAUUGUCACGCCCGGGUACAAGCGGAAGCAUAUCCGGUACGUGCACAGACCCGCCAUACACCUGCAGUAUAUAAGGCGUCUACAGAAGCAAAUCGAUAGGAAGUAAAACAAAGAAAGUCCUAUUCUGAUAUCAGAGCAAAAAUACAAGUCGACAAUACUAUCAGUAAGAGAACAAAGAGUACAUAAACCAAAAUCUCAACUAUAAGAGAAAGUAUCACAACUGUAGAGUCUGUCCAAGGAGUAAAAUAUACAAUAUGGGGUAUACAAAAAUUAGGUACAAUGGUGGUCUCUCUAUAUAGGGACAUCACCCUCGGCCGUAGCCCGAGUAGCAAGGUGAUCGACUAGCACGCUCCUAAUAGUCCCUAGCUAGGCGCGACUCCCUUGCCACAAUCCCUAGCCUCUCCUGUAACAGGCUCUGUAAAAACAACCACCAAAAGGGCGUGAGAACUAUAAACAAUAGUUCCCAGUGGGUAAGCCGCCAGCCUCGGCGAAUUACACCACUAGGCUCAUGAUGUACUAAAUGAAAGCAAAAGUAGUAAUUGCAUGACAUAUAUAAUUAUGCAGUGCUAACAGAUAAUAAGCCAAUGUUAACAAAUAAUGAACAUGUAAACAACAUGUAAUCCUAGUCUCAACAGUAAUGAUUUAACUGAAUAAUAGAAGCAUGGCCACUACUAGCAUAAACAUGGCAUAAAUGUGUAAGUAACUACUGUACACUGUAUCUGGUAAUCAUUCAUUACUGUCCAAUUUCCUUUAGCACUUUUUCUUUCAUUCACAGGGACCUACCCAAGGUAGUCCAGCUUGCGCCGCGCCUAGUGGCCCCGUGGUAGUAUACACUCCCCACGGCAAUCCACUUCGGCACCCAAUCCCGCACGGGCGAGCAACUGUCGCGUAGGCCAACUCCGGAGUGCCGGCUUGUAGGGAGCUACCCUCACAAGCGUGUACGAAUGAGCACGAUGGCAAGCAAGCAAAGUCCACAGUCCAACAUGUCUCAAUUAUUACAUUUUCAAUGUUCUCGGUCUCGAUCCUCGAUCGGAAUUUCAAUACACACAGAGUAACAAGAACUCGUAUCCACUAAAUUGUCUAUUAUGGCACUAUCAACAUGGUCAUAAGCAUGUUAUAGUUUUCUACUUUAGAGUCAAGCAAACGUCAUUGUUCUCUACAAGGUCACGAGAAUAUCAUUGUUCUCUACUUUACCAAAGCAUCAUUCGUAUGUCCAUUAGUUAACUUAACUAAAUAUAAACAUAAACAUGGGCAUAAAGACACUUAUGCAUGAGUACUCUCUACUUCAUAGAGGUUCUAUUCAAUCAUAUGUAUAUAUAUCAACACUAUAAUAUAGUGACUCGUCUCAAAUUCUGUAUCAAUCACAAAAGCAUACAACUGUACCAAUUCUAUAGUACAUAUAGAACAUAGGGGAGCUCCACUUGCUCUGGUUAGGUCAAACCCACCUAGUACUAGGCUCC